rnacentral:lncRNA from 1 species
UCGAGGAGAAGGAGAAGCAAGAAACACACACACGGCCAAGCUCAAGCUCAAGCUUAUGCCUCCUAAACUUGGGACUACUUCGUUGAGAUGGGAGGUUGCAACCAAGAAUCACUUAAUUACCUGAGAUACAGAUGAGAAAGUCAAUUUGGGCAACAGAAGUCGGGAAAAAGGCGGAACUUUUGUAGUAGUCGGGUUUUUGAUCAAAGAAAUCUUUUCGAGAAUGGAUGAGCUGAACCGAAUAAAUUACGAACGAUGGAAUGAAACCUAAGCACACAAGAGUUGACCAUGAAAAGCCGUAGUAUGCACACAACAUCCUAAUGCAUCCAUCCUCCUGUGAAAAAUAAUUGAGCUGAUCAAAAUUUGGAUACCUUCUGCGGGGGUCUUGUUCUGUUAGUAGGAAGACCGCUACUUCCCACUUGCCACAGACUUCUACAGGCCAUAAGAAUUCCCCCUGCAUUGUCAUGUCAGAUAACUCUUCCCCAAUAUUUAGAAAACCAAAAGCUACAAUACUUGGCACGCAAUUUUAACACCUUCUAGUCCCAUCAGAAUACAAAACAAAACCCGUGCAAUUUAGCUUAGCUUCGGUGACAUGAAAUUUUAUGACGACAAACAAAAACACAUCGCAAUUAUAUCUGCAUCAGUGUUAUGAGCCCUCCACAACAGGGGUUAUACAAGUCUCUUAUACCGGAUAGUGGUUUUUCAGCCACCAGCCCAUCAGACUUAACUUCAUCUAGUAGAAUCAAAUAUAAGUUCAAGACGACUUGUUCAUUCACAAAUGAAGUAAAAGGCCUAUCGACCAAUAACUUUGGUCAUUUUCAUGAUCAUAGAUUGCAGUUAAAUGGACAUAUCAGAGGAAUUCACUAAAACAAGGGCAUUACAUUAGCAGAAAAGCACAUGGAAGGAGACAACUGAAGUGUUGCUUCCCUGUACUCCCAUAAAACCAUUAAAAUGGAACAAAUGAGAGAAAGGAAACAGAAAUCAUAAAUCAACGUUAAUUUGCUCCAUCUACAAGGGGAUGUGAUCUCAACAGUCCUGUUGGCACUUGGCCUGGAAAAGGAGAGAGAGAGAGAGAGAGAGAGAGAGAGAGAGAGAGAGAGAGCUCUUCUUGUUGAACAAACAAAACUNNNNNNNNNNNNNNNNNNNNNNNNNNNNNNNNNNNNNNNNNNNNNNNNNNNNNNNNNNNNNNNNNNNNNNNNNNNNNNNNNNNNNNNNNNNNNNNNNNNNNNNNNNNNNNNNNNNNNNNNNNNNNNNNNNNNNNNNNNNNNNNNNNNNNNNNNNNNNNNNNNNNNNNNNNNNNNNNNNNNNNNNNNNNNNNNNNNNNNNNNNNNNNNNNNNNNNNNNNNNNNNNNNNNNNNNNNNNNNNNNNNNNNNNNNNNNNNNNNNNNNNNNNNNNNNNNNNNNNNNNNNNNNNNNNNNNNNNNNNNNNNNNNNNNNNNNNNNNNNNNNNNNNNNNNNNNNNNNNNNNNNNNNNNNNNNNNNNNNNNNNNNNNNNNNNNNNNNNNNNNNNNNNNNNNNNNNNNNNNNNNNNNNNNNNNNNNNNNNNNNNNNNNNNNNNNNNNNNNNNNNNNNNNNNNNNNNNNNNNNNNNNNNNNNNNNNNNNNNNNNNNNNNNNNNNNNNNNNNNNNNNNNNNNNNNNNNNNNNNNNNNNNNNNNNNNNNNNNNNNNNNNNNNNNNNNNNNNNNNNNNNNNNNNNNNNNNNNNNNNNNNNNNNNNNNNNNNNNNNNNNNNNNNNNNNNNNNNNNNNNNNNNNNNNNNNNNNNNNNNNNNNNNNNNNNNNNNNNNNNNNNNNNNNNNNNNNNNNNNNNNNNNNNNNNNNNNNNNNNNNNNNNNNNNNNNNNNNNNNNNNNNNNNNNNNNNNNNNNNNNNNNNNNNNNNNNNNNNNNNNNNNNNNNNNNNNNNNNNNNNNNNNNNNNNNNNNNNNNNNNNNNNNNNNNNNNNNNNNNNNNNNNNNNNNNNNNNNNNNNNNNNNNNNNNNNNNNNNNNNNNNNNNNNNNNNNNNNNNNNNNNNNNNNNNNNNNNNNNNNNNNNNNNNNNNNNNNNNNNNNNNNNNNNNNNNNNNNNNNNNNNNNNNNNNNNNNNNNNNNNNNNNNNNNNNNNNNNNNNNNNNNNNNNNNNNNNNNNNNNNNNNNNNNNNNNNNNNNNNNNNNNNNNNNNNNNNNNNNNNNNNNNNNNNNNNNNNNNNNNNNNNNNNGAGAGAGAGAGAGAGCUCUCUUGUUGACAACAAACAAAAAGUCUUGCCUUCUUGCUUGGCACUACCAGAUCGAGCCACUCACUCCAGAAAGCUACCUAGCUUUCACAUGCCUUGAGAGCAAAACUUUGCACAUCAUCGAAACAUACACAUGGAACUAAACCUUUCUGUUGAAAUUAUAGAACCAAGGCAGGCACUCCUACCAAUUUCUGCCAAAGGAAUAUCUGAUGCAAGCUAUGUAGCUGCUCCUUGGGCAGCUUCUGGGAAGCUUCCAGAAACCAAAUCUUUUGAUCAGGUGCCUACAGAUAAAAAUAACAAUAAGAUCAAACCAAAUAGCUUCAAUUUAAAUUGAAGAAAGAAAAGGAAAAAAAAAACAAUACACAUGCUACCAUAUACUACCGAUUAAACAACACUUUUGUAGCUAAAAUUCACCAGGACAUGUUCCUACUCUUUUGGUCAUUUAACAUAGACAGAAGUAAAUUGAAAAAGUGGAUAAUUUACUCUGCUUUUCAGUUUCAAACAGAAAUUUACCAUUGAUAUCAACUAUUGGUCAGAACUUAGUACAUAUGAUCAACCGUUAAGUAGCACAUCCUAAUCAAUUUAUUCGAUCAAUUCAUAGAUAAGAAGUAGAUUAAAUAACAAUACUUAAUUUAACUCCAAAUAUGAGAAAUACAACAUUUUAUUUUCUCGACACAUUAUUUUUCAGCCUGAUCAUCUUAGGACCACUCACACAGUUAUGACAACCUUGAGCUAUGCCAUCUCCAACUUGUAAGCAUGUUUAGAUCCAAAUACUGAUCUAGUACAAGAAAAUCAACAACAAAAAGAAUACGUGAUGUCCCAACACCAUUUCAAUGGAUUGGACUUUGUUUAGGACAAUAUCACUAGUCAAAGACUCAAAACUAAGAGAAGACGAAUAUAUUUAGUUAUUAUUUCGAAUUAAGUUUACAUGAUCCAUUGCUUAUAAAGAAUUCACACAACAGAAUGAUGGUUCGUUAAAUCUCUUCCACCUGUUUAUUUUUCAGCUUGCUGAAUUUAGGGCCUCAAAUCCAUCUCCGAGUCACUCAUUUGAGAUAUUUAUUAAAAAGGAUAUUACAGACCAUGAAAAAUACAAAAAGACUCUGCCAGGUCAGUUGAUGCUGUGACGGCAAGGUCUCAGCACUUUGCAUGGUCAUCGGUGUCCUACCACCACAGCAGCCUGAAAUCUGAAUCAGCAUAGAGCCCAUUGCCAUAUUAAAGUGGUGCCAAUGCCAAGACCAGCUCAUCAUCACAGCUGCAUGACUUUGCCUUGUAGACCAACUUAUCUCAAUACUAAACUAAUAAAACUGAUUAAAAUCUAAUAAAUAGCCCGAUCGUUGGUUACAAACACCAGCUUGCACAGCCAAACCCCAAGAACAAAACCUUAAAUGGCAUUUCCAUGUCCCAAAACCCAACUAUUAUUCCAUAAAAGACAUGUCAUACAAUAGAGCUACAGAUAUUCAACAUUAUGCUCCUGUGUCAUCUUUGAGACAAGUCUUGUUGCACAACAAGUUCAAUUACCUAUCUAGCGCAUACUAGGUACUCCUUACAAUGGACAACCACAAAAAACAAGUCCACCAAACUUCUAUUGUCUGCAUAACUUCUGUGUCGCAAUACUGUCCACUCAACCCAAAUGCGAUUGUCACGACCCACAUAUAAAGACUCUUCUAUGAAAUGCUCAUCUGCAUCACUAUGAAAUGCUUGUUUCCAGACAGAUGAAGUGCAAACUCACUUCACAUUUCCUCCCACAUAUGAAGACUCUUCUAUGAACAAGACUAAAAUGAACAUCCUUUGCACCACCAUUCUUAUUAGUGUAUCCUAUCUCAAACAUCCUUGGGGGGAAUUCCUAAUCUCCUUAAUGGUUAUCUGAACUAGCUCAAACCCAAAAGUUCUCUUCCCCAGCUCUCCCAAGAUCUAAAAGAUCACCAGAACACAAUUGCUCGGAAUGUUCAAGACAUCAAAUUGUAGGACAAAUAUUGUUAUGCGUAACAGUGACGGAAGCACCCAAUCUCUUUUGCUGAGCACGAGCACAAAAUCAUUCCAAUCUCUAUCUUAUAAUCAAUUACUUCCUGAAAUGUCCUAAAAUCCUGUUAUGUGUCUAUCUUAUAAAAAUCACUUCCUGAAAUGUCCAAAAAUACUGUUAUGAUUCUAUAGUUCUAUCAUUAUGUGCCUCAUGCAACAAUAUUGAAAUUGUCUUAGCCAGCUUUUUUGAACUAUAUCACAUAAAAGUAGAAAUGAAAAUGUGCACAUCACAAAAAAAAUCGGCCACACUAGAAUACCACUUGAUAAUCUUGCUGGUACCGAGUUGUAUGACCUAAUACCAAUGGCCAAUUCUUAUAACCUUGAAUCCCAUCCCCAUCUGGCCCCCCUACCUGUCAUCUUUCCCUCAAGCAUAAUUAAUCCACUCAUAGCUGAUUUUGCCUAUUGCUGACCCCCUCUUCCUUGCUGCUGCCUCGCCCGCUCUGCCAACAACACAUGCCACAGCAACUUGAUCUCAGCCCCCCAACUCCAUCUUGUGAUCUCAUGUCCUUAUGUUUCACCAACCACCCCUAUCAGUUGCCCACCAUCAUGGGCAUCUGCCUCAUCACUGACUUCUCCUCCGCCUCCAAUUUGUGCCUCCCUCAAGGCUGGCACCACCUACCCCCAUUGCCAGAGUGCUAUUAUCUCUGCCUUCAUGUUGGUCAAUGCCACCCACACCAACGAGUUUGCCCUUGCAACGUGGCCACCACCAUAGUGAUCUGGACCUGUUCCUGCCUUUGAAAGUUGAAAGCGUUGGCACAGACAGGUAAUGCUACCAGACUGAGAUUUUAGUCCAUGGUCGUACUAAAGACUUGUUAUCUUUGCAAUAAAAUUAACUGUUAACGUCUGUUCAAGGGUGAUGUGUCCCAGUUGAGUUGAAUAUCGACUUGAAAUUUGGUACAUACAUUGGACCUGAAACUAACAAACAUGAGGAUUAGACAAAAAAAAUUGUUUCCAAAACUGGAACCAAUCAUCUAAGGCCAUUCAAACCUGGUUUGAUGAAAUCUCUCAAUCAUGAAGACCUAAAUCCUCCUUAGGCUUAGUGGAUGUUAUGAUUGAUCAAAAACCUCCUUCCAUUAGUAUCUAUAAAAACAAAAUCCACCAAUAGACCAAGAGAGAAACAUAAUCCUAAAAGAAACAAGUGAGCAUUACAAAUUUAUAAAAAAUGUUGUGAUUACAAUGUCCAUCACUAUUUCUUAGAUAAGGAUGCGAGAAUCAUAAACUGGCACACAUCCAAGUCUCCAAUUUGACAAGAAAAUCAACGAAUGAGAAGUACCAUUAAUAAAUUAUAGAAAUGAUAGAAUAAAAUAAAUCAAAGGCAUAUAUAUAUAUAUAUAUAUAUAUAUACAAAAGGUUCGCAAUACCGUACCGUACCGGUGUUUCGACCUGGGUUCGGUACCGGUAUGGUACGGUAUACCGAGCGGUACACCCAGGUGUAUCGAUCGGUAUACUCAGGUGUGCCGAGUACUGUAGCACUGCUACAGUGCACUCGGACCGGUAACAGACGAUCCGCAUACCGGCAACCUGUCAGACCGGUACGUACCGCCCGUACCGGGCGGUACAGUUCGGUACUACAGACCAUAUAUAUAUAUAUAUAUAUAUAUAUAUAUCCCUCUAAAUUAAAGAUCAUCAUAUGUAUUACGCAUCACUUCAAAACCAAAAACAUGCAUGCAUAUUAUUAUAGUUAUACUUCGUUAGAUAAUGUAAGUUAACUAUUAGCAGUGAUUUAAAAAACGCUAGGCGCCAAGGUGCAAAAACGCCCGAAACACUAAGCACUCGCCCGAACGAAACGAGGCGCUAAAAUAUAAAAAAUAUAUAAAUUAAUUAAUAAAUAUAAUUAUUUAAAUAAAAAUAUGAUAUUAAAUUAAAAAAAAUCUUAUAGAAUCACAAUAUCAUAUUAACAAAAAAAUCUCAAAAUUCAAAACAAUAACAAUAAUUUCAAAUAAAUAAAAAUUAGUAGUAUUAAAAUCAAAAUAAUAUAUUAUUAAUCUAAUAAAUAAAAAAAUAUUGUUACUAAUAUACAGUUAACAGCAAGGUCCGUCAUACCGUACCGUAUCGGAGUUUCGACCCGGGCUCGGUAUGGUACGGGUGUACCGACCGGUAUACUGAGGUGUACCGACCGGUAUACUGAGGUGUACCGAGCGGUACACCUGAUUUUAUCGAUUUAUCCCUCCAAAAUACUUGAAAAUUAGAAAAAAAAGGUUAAGAUAGUGUUUUCAAGUUACAAAUGCAUACCUCUUGAUUAGAAAACGAAUACAUACCUCUUGAUUAGAAAAGUUAGGAUAGUCUUAAUUACUCUCUAAUUAAAAAAAAUGAAUACAAACCUCUUGAUUAGAAAGUUAUUCCUCUUAAUCUUCCUAAAUUAGCCUCGAUUGAAUUCACAAAUCGUUGUUUUAUAGAGUUUAGGAAAGAAAAAGAAAGUUUGAGAGAGAGUUUAAGAGAGUAUAAUGAAAUAGGAGAGAGAAGAAUGGUUUAAAUAGGAGGAGAAAAAGCUCCAACGGUCAAAUUGAUAGUUGGAACACUGUAGCACUGCUACUGUGUGGUAACGGUCGAUUUCGACCGUUACCGAGUGGUGCCAGACGGUAACGGUCGAAAUCGACCGUUACCGAGUGGUACCGGGCGAUAACGGUCGAAAUUUCGACCGUUACCGCCCUAUUUUGCCCCGUAUCGCCCAAUACGGGGGUUUUUGGGGCGUACCGCCCGGUAGCGAGCGGUCCGCGUACCGGUAACCUACCGAACCGGUACGUACCGCCCGAUACGGGCGGUACGCUUCGGUACGGUAGACCUUGGUUAUUAGUAUAUUGUUAAUAUACUAUUAACAAUAUACUAUUGAGUCAAUGUGAGUAGAGGGAGUAAGAGUAAUAGUAGAGGCAAUGGCAGCGGGAGCGGGAGCGACGAUAGUGGCAAGCAGCGGUAGUGGUAGCGGCAACGAUAGCGGUAGCAGCGAGCAGCAACACCGGUGUAAGAGUAAGACUGAGGCUGCUGAUUGAGAGAAGCAGCAGCGGUAGCAAGAGCGGGAGCGGGAGCGGCGAUAGUGACAAUGGCAGCAACGACAGCGAGCAGCGACAACAACGACAAGCAGCGACAACAAAGACAAGCAACGAUAGCGGAGAGAGGCAACAACAGUAGAGAGGAAAUGUCAGUAGCAUAAUCUUGAGCAGGGUUAGGGUUGGGGAAGUCGUGAGAGGGAUGUUGGGAGGCUGACAUCGAUGCUUUAGUUGGUUCAAUCGAACCAACUGAAGCACCGGAGACCGAACCAAACGUAAAACACUGGUUCGGUCGCCUGGUUUAACCUGGGCGCUCGCCCAAAGCGCCCAGCGCCUAGGCGGUGCCUCUUUGAAGCGAGGCGCUUAGACAUGAAGCGUGGCACUCGGGCCUCGCCUCGCCUCGCCUCGCCUGAACGCCUAUUGAAAUCAUUGACUAUUAGUUAAACUUUAAUUUACACCAACACCUCUUAUGCACUCAUCAUAGUGCUAAUAACAAUAAAGGUAUUUUUGGUAAACUAGUGUUAGAUAAUGAUUAGUAAGUGGUCAACUUGUGUAUUUUGGAUGGAUGUAAAUGACAAUAAGAAAAGUGGAGGUUCUUAAUAUUUACAGGAAUCUAUAUGUUACAUUAUAAUUUAUAAUUACGAAUAUGCUAUUUUCAAACUUUGCAAGGAUAAAUAUAUUGCCCCGUCACAGUUUAUAUGUAUAUAUAACUUAACAUAUGAAACAGAAAAUUGUUGCCAAAAAUUCCUGAAUUCUGAUACAUCAUGUUAAAAUUAUCAUAUAAAUGUUUCUACGUAAGAUUUUUUUUUUUUUGAGAAAGGUAUUUGAAAUAUUUUAUUAGUUAAACUAUCAAGAAUCAAAGAAGCUAACUAGGUUGCUUUUUCUUGUAAAUAGCAGUCAUGAGGAGUAGAUGCUGUGCCCGUGGCUCACUCUACUUCCUUCAGAUACCAGCAGCUGCAAUAGGGGUGGCUGCAGCAUAGUGGCAUAAUAAAGCAGCAGCAAAGGCAGUUCCUAUCUUCUUCAUCUCCUUCCACCACUCCUCCCCCACUUCUCUCUUCCUUUUCCUUAAGCUGUGAUUGAGAGCUUGGAUCUGUCCAACUAAAUCAGGACUCAGCUGAGUCAGAAUUAGUUGUCUUUAUAUCAUCAAGUCAGAGUGACUCAGUACAUGUCAAUAGUGGAUACAUGUCGAUGCACAAAGGCCUUAGACAUGUGAAUCCAGGUAAAAUUGAUGACAUAUGUGAAGUUGUAAUUUCUUUAGAAGAAACAAUUGAAACUUACAUAAGAUACAAGAUAAAGAUAAAAAUGGACCCAACAAAGAAUUACUAAAUCAAGUAAUAAAGUAUAUACUUCAAGAAAAUAUUAAAAAGGAACUAAAAGCAAAACAACAAAACAAACAUAGAAGAAGAAUGAAAGAGAAGAUAAAAACAGUAAAUAUAUCCUCUUCUUUGAUGAUAAGCCAGGUUGUGGUCUGGAUUAAAGGGAUUUUUGUCUUCCUCCAAAGUGACAAUCAAGAUUUUGUGUGAUUUGUGCUUGGUGAAACAUCUUGUGCUUGUGGAGAUUCUGAGCCCCAGAAUCAACCACAAUAUAAUAGUGUCAAACCAACAACAUUGCAUUUAAUUUAAUUUAAACAUUUAAUUUUAGAUCUGAGGUUUCAAUCCUCAUACCUGGAAACUGCCUCUCCACAGGAGAGGCCAACUUCUACCAGAUAAGCAUCAGAGAUGGGCCCAAGAUCACCAGAGGGAUGAUGGGAGACCAAAGACAAGAAUCUCACAUGGUAGCCUAGGUGAGUGCUGUUUUUUCAUCAAUUUUUUUACUUUUUUGUUUCUGAAAGCACUUCUGUGUUACUAAGGUGGUUGCGUUAGCAUUACAUACCAUAACAGUCAGCAGUCAAACUGAGGAGAACCGGUAGAAUUUAGAACUUUAAUGGCAUUCAGUUGUAGGUAAAAAGGAAAGGAAACAAAAACAAGAGACAUUCACAUAAGCAACAACUGCUAGAAAUGCAAACCGAAGCACAUAAGCAAUGCCACCAGGUAUGAAAAACAAAUAUGAACAAGGAAAUUGUUAAUUAUACUACAAGUACUUUUUUUAAGGAAAAAUCCAUCUGCACCUGGAAGCAAAAAUAUAUUCUCUUGUAACAUAAGGCCAACUAUAUCCACUCUAAUUGACCUAAUAAGUAGAUUUGAAUGAACCUAGUUUAAUUUAGAAAAAAAGAUUGUAUAAAAUCUGGACUUUUAGCAAGGGGCUGAUCUCCACAUAUGGUUUUUGAUCGGAACCAGGUUAAUUGGUCAGGUCAGUUAAAUAUUUAUACACCUAGUAUCAGCUCAAAGAAAUAGGGUGCAAGAAACAAAAAAUAAAGGUUAAGAUAAUCUAACCACUAUCCACACAUUUGCUAAGAGGACGAAAACAAAAUAAAUAUGGAACUUAACACACACAAAAAAAGACAUGUUCCUUUAUAAGCCCCCAUGAUGGCUCUCCAACUAAACACAAUUAUAUAAGCCUUGACAUGUUCCCACAUAUAUAUACACAACAACAACAACAUUAACAAAGCUGUAAGUCCCAAUUAUUUGGAUGUUUUGAUAUAUAUAUAUAUAUAUAUAUAUAUAUAUAAUCUAUCACAAAUCAAGGAUUUAUAUCUGGUUGAAUACUGGUUGCAAUAACCUACUGGACCAGUACGACACCAAUUUACUAGAUGGUGUACCAGUCUACACUGUCUAGUAUCAUUAUACAAAAAAUAAUAACAAAUGAUAUUAUACCAGUAUCAAACUAUAUCUUUCGCUACGAUAGUUGACCACAUCAGUAUAUACAAUUCAGGACUUACUGGUCCAACCAAUAUUUAAAAACUGGUUGAGGAUGCCUAUAAAUGUUAAAACUUGUAAUGGUCCACAUUAGGCCUCCAACAACACCCACAAGUAGUACCCUAACUUCAGAAUGAUGUAAUGCAAUUAAGGAUGUCUACUUAAGAUAAUUCAAAAUGAGUUGCUGUAGGAUAAAAAUAACAUGAAAAAAUAACAUAUAUGUCUAAUAAAUAUUCCCAUAAAAAUUUGGUAAAUGCCAAGUGUCGUCUAUGGUACCUUUUUGGCAUGUUUGGUUCACUUCACCUUUUUUUUAGCAAGGAUUGAAAUAUUGUACCGUACCGGAAUUUCGACCUUCUCUCGGUACAGUACAGUAUUAUAUACCGAGCGGUAUACCGUUCGGUAUAUAUAUAUAUAUACCGCUUGUUAGUGAGCGAUCCACGUAUCGGUUUACAGUCGGACUAGUACGUACCACCCGGUACCAUUCAAAAUUGUAUAUAUUGCUUUUUAGAAUUAAAAUGCACCUCUAGAAAAAUAAGACUAAUAGAUGCUAGUUAUCCAUUUCCAGUUCCCCAAAUAAAAAAACAUUGAGGAUAUCACAAAUCAAAAAUCAAAUCAUGGUAUGUAAUUUCGAAUGGUAUCGCCCGGUACGAGAGGUACGUACCAAUCCGAUGGCAUACCGAUACGUGGACCGCCCGCUACCGGACAGAACGUGCAGUAGUGCUACAGUGCUACAGUAAGAGGAAGAAAUAUAUAAAACCGCUUGGUACGCUCUGGUAUACCGCUCGGUACACGGUACCAUACCGUACCGAGCCAACCUCGAAACACCGGUACAGUACGGUAUUGCAUACCUUAAAUCAAAUAACUAAGAUUUUUUUUUAUAAUGUAUCAUUUCAAAUGAAGAUAUUUACAAAUCAAAUAAGCAUUACAACAACAACAACAAAAUUGUAAUGUGUCAUGUAUUUGAGAUAGCUGCAUGGAUCUUUUAUGGUCAUUGAACUAUGAAAAGAGUCAUAUUCUUAGUUAUAUUAAGAGUACAUAAAUUUUUGCUUAUGGUUUCUAAUAAAGUUUUUUUAGGUCUCCCUCUCCCCCUCCUUUUUUCAUAAUCAUUUAUAUCUUCUAACUUCAUAUAUAUAAGCCUCCUUAGCAUAUACCAAUAUUAUCUUAAACAAGUAUCUCUCAGUAUUGUUCAGGAAUGAAAACACUUCUUUUCCCAUUUUAGCAAUUCGACACGUUUGCCUCGACAAUGAUAAACCUUUUCUUUGUAUAUCUUGUUUCUUGAUUGCGUAACACUAAAAUCCAUAAAGCUCGUUAGUCUAAGAACGAUUUCCUUCUAAUCUAAAAGGUACCUAGUGAUUGCACAAAACUCCUUAUGUCCCUCUCUAUUUGAACCAUCCGAUUUUUCCUCUAUGAACAACAUUUUCAUUAUUCUUUCCAUCUUAUUGGAUAUGUAAUCCAAGAUAUAUAUAAGACUUUAACUUGAUGAAACUUCUUGGCCAUUCAAAUUAAUUAUAUUCUCAUGCUAUCACUAAGAUUACUUAGUCCUACUUAUAGACUUUUGGUUUCCAAGGUUCAUUUUCAUAAUACAAGCUUAAAUUAAUUUCAUCUAACUUGUAAUCAACAAAAACAAUAGUUUACUUCAUUAUCAAUGUGAAAAGAUAGAAACUUAAUACGGAUACUUGAUAUAGUAUUAUACUAAUAAAGAACUCAUUAGACAAGUUCUAACACCUUUGACUACACUAUGAUUCAUAUCUUUUAUAAUAUCAAUAUGGUUAACUAUAAUAAAUCCUUAAGAACUCUAUCAAAUAAGCAUUACAAAAGCAAAUUCAUUCUUGACACUACAAGAGAUCUAUAUACAAGGGAAAGUCCACUAGAAUACUCUUGUAUCGUAGGAUUCAAGGACUUACGUUUUGCCUAGACCGGAAUGAAACUAGCGACACGUAUUGGUCUGAGCUCCAACAGAUACACAGACCCACCUCGGUCUGGUCCGCCAUAUAAAAGGGAAAGUGGGAAACCCUAAAUCCCACUUCCACGCCGCCUAUGCUUCUCACACAGCCAUGAUCAAUGCUGCAACUUUUCGCCUUUGUCUUCUCACCGCGAUUGACACCUCUUCUCACACAAAUGGCUAUUGGCAACCUCCUCUUGCCAAGACCUCGUUGCAUACCACCAUGCACAAUCUUUGCCCUAAUCACUUCUCAGGUAUGUCUCUUCUCCUCUUCCUCUUCCUCUUUCUCCUUCCUCCACUGUUUCCUCUUCUUCGCUCUUUCUUCCUUCAUCCUCCACUAUCCCUUCCUCUUAUCCCUGUUUUCCUUCCUCUCCGAAAUACCGAUACCUACCAAUGUACCAUGUGUCAGUACAUAACCGGUAUGUACUGGUCCGACAAAUCUCCGUGACAAGUUUGGUACCCGACAUGGCGAACCUUGGUAGGAUUAACCUUUACAAGAAAUACAUGAACCACAACCAACAAAAAAGAAUGUAUUAACAACAAAAUUUUAAUUUAUCAUGACUAGGGCAGGGGAAGAAAAUCAAUAAGAUACAUUGGGAAGACCAUUUAUAUUAUUCCAAAUUAUUCUUUCCUUUAAAUGAGACAAUCAUCAAACUCAAUAUUCACAAUGUUAGCUAAAUUAUGCUAAAUGCUUAUUUUAUACAAAUAGGUAUAUGAAAAAUUCACAAUUCAUAGUUGCACUAGGUGUUGCAUCAGUAAUUAAUCGACUAUUUACAGUUGACAUCAUGUUACCAACAGUCACUAGCACUUGUUUCUUUCUGGAGGAAAGUAAAAUUAGAACAACUACCAUGGCUUUUAGGAUCAGAGGUGCAGUACACUAAUUACUAAAAGUAAAGAACAGUUGAAGAAAGAACCACAUAGAACAAAUGAUGCAAAAGACUUAAUAAAGGGACUGCUGCUAACCAUGAAUUAUCUUCAAAAAGGAGCCUCAAGUGAUUCAUCCCAGAUGUCUCCACUUCCAUUGGAGGCAUCUUCACCAUCUUCCUCCAUGCUCAAUCUAAUAUAUUCUCUAUGUGCGAAACGGUCCCACUCAGUCAAAGUUGGGUUUUCCCUUUCCUGAAUUAACAAUUACAUGAACAGGUUACCAAUUUAUUGUAUAAUUAACAAGUUCCAAAUAGCUAACAGCUCCUGAAAAUGCAGAGUGAUUCACUAACCUGCCGAAUGAGAAAUGGAUCACGAGUUUCAAAUGCCAUGAAUUUGUUGAGAUUAAAAAGGAUAUUAAAAACAUUUCCUGAAAGUUUGCAGCCUUUUAAGUCACGCAAUGUAAAGUAGCUCUCAUUCUGCGAAGAAAAAAAUUUUAGUUUUAAAUAAUUCACAAACUCAUCUUAAUCUUAAACAUCAGGAGAUAGGUCACCUCAGAUCCAAUCAUAUCAAUCAUCUGGCACAAAAUGUCCUCAAAGAGCACAGGUUCUUGCGCCAUACAUUCCAUACGAUGCAACUGCUCCUCAUAGAAAAAUUGCAUCUCAUUGGCAGUUAAAAUUCCAUUCCCAUCCAAAUCUAUACACUUGAACCUGAAAAAUCAAUUCAUUCCUAACAAAUAUUAUAAUUAAUUAAGAAAAUAGUUUAAAUCAAUGAUGAUCUAGAACGAUCAUGUGAAAUUAAUGACAAUCUUUCUCAUCAUACAUGGAGCAACAAUAGAGGAGGGAGCCAGCUAGUAUUUGACAUCUACUUACCAUGAAUAAAAAAUGAAGAGAGUAGAUUAAACUCAAGAUAAAGUCAGAGAAAUCAACCAAGAACACAGAUUCAAAAGUAGGUUGGCACCAACAGAAGCACACCUAAGAUUGCUUGCAGUGAGAAUAAAUGUAAGAAGUACCUAAGGUAAUCCUCUAAACAUAUUGUGGUUGUAACUUGUGAGGCAUAAUCAAGAAAAACUAAAAAAAGAAAUAUGAGUCAAACAAUAUGAAUGUGCAGAAGUCCCAAUACAAGUUAACUCUUGCUGUUUUGAUGCCAACAGGCUACAGCUAAGUACUAAAGAAGGUGACAGGAAUGUGAAUAAGGAAAAUUGUGAUCUCAUGAUAUUAUGAUAGUAAUUUGCACAGUUUCUAGAUAUGAGUUAGUUUAUAAUAACUCUUUUUUUGACAUAUAUAAUAUCUGAACCAAUGUGGAAAACAUGAAUCAUGGUUUCGUUAACAAGUCAUGAUGGAAAAAAAAAAAAAUUUAAAAGAACCAUGAAAUUCAGAAAUUAUGAUUGGAUCUGAAUUGGUUGGCUACUACACAUUGCAAAACUUCAUGCUGCUGGCACGAUAAGUAUAACCAAAAGAGAAUGGUGACUGAAACAAGAGGCACUAAUUGCCUCCUACUCUGAUAAUGAAUUUUUUAAAAGUGAAACAAGAAAGCCGAAAUGGCAGCUUAUAAAGAUCCAACAUAUGAUGGGAAAUAGAUUCUUCAUCUUGUAUAUGAUCACAGUAGGAAAUCCUAAUAUUUCAUGGUUGCAGCAUUGGUAUGCGUCCUGAAAAGAAGAUCCUCAGAUUAAAGAAAAUAAGGAACAAGUCAGAUAUCUAAAUGAAGUUUAUUAAAUAAAUUUUGCUAAAAGGGCAGAAACUUCGACCAUAUAGAAAAAUCAAUUGGAUCCAUGGCAGAUCCUGAUACUGUAAUCCCAUGUGAUUACAUUACAAGGAUAGGACUGGAAUGGCUUGUACCUAUUAUAUGUCAGAAAGCAUUAUUCAUAUUGUUUAAAUUAUUAGAACUUGACAACACCAGCCCCAUUAUCAGACACUUAGAAUUUGUACUUAAAUGUAAAUUUGUCAAGCAAAAGAUCUUCCAUCAAAACAAAGCAAAAGAGGAAGAGAUUAUGUCAAAUCAGAUGGCAUCAUCAUAUAAACCAUGCAUAUGACAUAAUUUUCAGAGGAGAUGUUGCUAUCACCAAUACUCAAGACUAGGCUCAGCAGACUUAUCCUCCUCUGCUAGUAUAAAAUACACAAAGUCUUCGUAGCCCAUUUUGCCAUCAGCAUUGCUUUUAAAUUUCCUGGGAACCUAGAUGACAAUUCAAACACAUUGUGAAUCACCUGUACAAUUUAAUAAUCUAACAGCUGCACUUUAUCUAGCAUUUAAAUUAUCACUAGUAUAAUGCUUGACCAUUGCAUAUUAACAAAAUAAUCUGAAAACAACAAAUGUGUGAAAACCUGUGAAAAGAUCCUUUCAACAAUUCUGUAGGUCAGUGCAUGGUUUCCAUAUCUGAUAAGGUUCUCUUUAUCAAUCAAGAAGUCAUGAUCUGUAUCAAGUUCCCAGAACUUACAAUAGAUCACAUAGAAGUGCUCGUAUGAAAAGUAUCUGCAGGAAUAAGCAGCAGCAAACAAAGCUGUUAUUGUAAAAUGCCUCAAUUACUAACACAAAGUAUAAAAUUAUAAACAAAAGUUAUUACUAACUCAUAAUAUAAAAGGUUUAUAAUUGGGGCCUCUAUCUAUCAUAACAAGCGACUCUAAAGAUUAUUAGGCUUGCUUAUGAAAUUUGAAGUAAUAUAACCUUGCAGUGAAAGAAGGCGCAUGCAUCUUGCUACUUGAAUCCUUAAAAACGAAAUCAAUGCUCCUCUUUAACUUCAUACCUUUCAAAACCCAUGCAUAUUAAUCAUAAGAGGUUAUAUUUUAGUUUGAAAACAAUGCUCUUCUAUAACUUAUUAUCAGAACUCAUAUCUGUGAGGCUUUCAGUUUCAAUUUGUCAAUUCAGAUGUAAUUUUGACCAUGGAUUAAAAUACAGCCCAAUGACAUUUUAGUACAGUACCAAGAAACAUAUCCAUCUGUAUCACUCGAUAUCAAUGAGGAAAAAAAAUUAAAAAUUAAAAUUGUACUGGAAUUGAGCUAUAUAUUUUGAUACCAGUACUUAGUGAAUAAUUUUAGUCAGCAUGUACUAAUCUGGCUAAUAUUUAAUUCCUUGAUUGUGACUGCCAUAAGGACCUAUGUCAGAAAUUGUCUUGUGCUGUCAAAAAAAAAAAAUGAAACCAAUGGGAUUCCAAAAUGCCAAAGUGAGCAGUUGUCAGUCAUAUCUGUAUCAGCAUAAACAGGCCUUUCCCUGCAAAUAAAAGCAAGUUCAAGCUACAAGUUGGAUAAAAUUCCAAGUCUUUGAUGUGCACCCAAGACAAGGAGACUCUCCACAACCAUAACCACCACUAAUUUAAAGAACUCUUAGUCAAUCAGUCAUUUCACACACAUGCAAGAAUAAGAAGCCAGUAAGGUCAUAUUUUAUCACCAAGAGGCAAAAGUCAUACAAAUGACAGAAGAAUAAAAAUGAUCACUGAUAAAUUAGCAAAUGAUAGUAUGAAACGCCAGAUGCAAAAUUAAAUUGAAAUUGCAAUAGUAUUUCAGGCAUUUACAAUAUUAACUCCAAGUCAUUUACAUAAAUACAAGGACACCAGAAGCCCGUAAGGUCACAUAUUCUCAUAAAGAGACGAAGUCAUAUAAACAAUGAAAUAAUAAACAUAAACUCCAAUUCACUAGCAAAAGAUAGUGUCAACAGCUAGAUGCAUGAUAUAAGUCCAAACUGCAAUAGUACUUCAGGCAUCUACAAUAUAAACUUGCACAGAUCAUUCCAAGCUCAUGUACAAGACGGAUAAAAAGUGCAUUAACAUAAAGUCACCUCAAGACUUUGUUAAUAUCCUCCUCUUCGUCAGCAUGCUGCAUCGCAGCAAUUAAGUUUCCAUGUUUCAACUCUCUGAGGGUAAGUUGACCAUUUCCAGAUCUAUUCACAUGGUAAAAGAUUCUGUAUAUGACAGUUUCAGCUGGAAAAAAGGUUCCAAAACAAUAUGAAUUAGAGAAAGUACUACCAUGGCAUUUGGAGAGUUCGAAGGUCAAAGAUGAUGAUGCUGUUAUCUAAUAUGUCAUUGAACACUUGGGAUUAGACAACAAAAGCAAUUGGUUGUGAUUAUCAAUGUAUAGAUGCAACACAUGACAGAAGCAUAAGGAAAGUCUAUGAGCAACAGUAUAGAAUAAAUGAAUAAUGACUAGAAAAUGAUGUCAAGUUGUGAUAAAAAAUAAUGAUAGUGAUGAGUUUGACCUUUAACCAAUAUGUCAAUGGAUCAUGUUCUAAUAAACUACACAAGACAUUCUCCACAUCGAAAUGCAAAGCCAAAAGAAGUUCUUAUGUUUUUGCUUUACAUGUGUACAGUAACAAACAACUCACUGAAUUGUAAACAUCUUAUUUUCUAAUGACAACUAGAGCAGUUGAGCGUGCAAUGUCUAAAUCUUAAGAAUUUAAAUUAUUCACACAAUAUAUUGGUCUGAUGGAGUAAGUCUUAAGUAAAAAUGAAUAAUCCAUCUGACCAUAUGGAUUUCCUCCAAACACAUUAUAGGUGACUGAUAGGGUAUUAGGGUUACCACUGUUAUGCAGGUUAAGUAACUGAUGACUCAUCAACUUUUCUUCCUUGCCAUAACUUUUCAUAUUUUAUCUUCUUCUUAUACAUGCAUUGCCAACCAAGAAGAAUAGUAUGUGGUUCACUUACAGCUUUCAUGGUAGGUCCUAGUGUUCCUAACUCUCCAGAACAUCCACAAUUCUUUUUGCUAAUCAUAACUACUAGUGCUCCACAGGUUUAUACUUUAAGAUUCACUAACUGGAUAGACUGUAUACAGCAUGACUAUCAAAAGUUUCACUAUAAUUGCAUCAAACAGCCAUGAAUAAAGUGAACAUCUGUUGUCUGCAAGCUUUUAAACAAAGAUUAUGCUUUUUUCAUCACAUGAUAAGUGUAUAUCAUGAGAUGAGAGAAGCAUUUCGGUUGAUGGAAAGCCUUAUCCAUUUCUUUUUCCAUAAAAAAGAAAGAAGUGCAGAUGGGAUUGUAGAUAACAAGGACUGCCAUAUUGUACCAGUCGCUGGCCGGACCGGUACAUACCUGUGUUUCAAAGACGAAGGAGAAGAAGAAGGCACAAUGGAGAAGAGAGGAGGAAGAAAGAUGAGAAGGUAGUGGAGGAAGAGGAAGAAGGAAUAAGAGAGGCAGUGGAAGAGGAGGAAGAAGAAGUGGAAGCGAUGGAGGAAGAAGGAAGAAGAGGAGGCAGUGGACAGUAGGAAGAAGGAAGAGGAGAAGAGGUGGGAGUGCACUAGGCAGUGAACAUUAGCGGCGACAACAUUGAAUGACGGCGGCGGCGACAAUGACAUCAAAUGUCACUGGCACGACGCCGUAUGAUAGCAGCGAUGACAACAGCAUCACAAGAAGACAGCUCAUGUUCAUGAGCCCUCUACUGCAUCAAUUAUCCAAAAUGAUUAUUCAAACUCAUGUUCUGGAAAUUGAUACUUCUUAUCGUAUAUAGCUUUAUAUUUCCAGUUCUUUCCACUGGUACUUCAGUAAAAAGAUGGAAGUCACUCAAUUGUUGCAUUCCCUUCUAGAACAUUUAUUAUCAAAACUCCAAUAUUACCAAGGAAAUUGAAGACAUGAAAUUAAAAAAUAUUGAAUGAAGCACAAUAGUGUUAUUUGAGCUUCAAUAUUGUACAGGUUGUGCAUCUUCUAUCUUGUCUUUAGAAACAUAAAAAAUGACUUAUGCUGAUCACCAUAAAAGAUCUCACUAAUAUAUCCAAAGUUCCCACAGAAAAUUAUCAUGGAUUUCACAAUCAUAGAUCUCUCCUCCAAUUCCCCCAACCCAAAAGAAAAAAACCUCACCGGGCCCCUAGGAAAUGAAUAUAAUUAUCAAUCACAGAUAUCCAAAUAAUCAAUUAAACACAUUUUGGUUCAUAAGCUCAAACAAUAAAUAUCGUGACAAUUGUGAAGUAAAAGAGUAAGGAAGAAGCAGGACAAAGAAAGCAGCAAUAUGGUCAACAAAGAAAGCAACAAAAAGAAAGAAAGGAAAAGCAGGUGUUUACAACCAACUCAUAUAGUCAAUAUGAACUUCAGAUGCCUGGUCUUUUCCAUUUUGGUUUUCAAUGAAGGAAAACUUGCUUAAUGGUUGGCCUUUCUACUUUUCUUGAAGAACAGAACUGUUACCCUUUCAGAAAUUAGUUGAGUUUGAUCUCUUGCAUCACAUAGAUCUUACCAUUUGUAAUGAAGAUAAAAUGAUAAAAGAUGCAAGUGAUUAUACAGGCACACCCUUUAGGAACUGGACCUUAAGAAAACAAAACAAGGGACACUAUUAAUGCCUCAGUGAAAACUGUGAGCUCACUUAAGGUGAGAGUCAAAUUAUGCAAAAUCAUCAUCUGAAAAGAUGAACAUUUAUCCCACAAGUAAUUAUAGAGGUACACCUUUUAGGAUCUGGGCCUCAAAAAAUUAACCAAGAGACAUGAUUAAGGCAUGUCUCAGUGAAGGCUAUGAGCAUGCAAUUGAGGAGAUGACCAAAAUGUGCAAGAUUGUUUUUUGACAAGAGGAACAACUAUCCCAACUAUAUAUGUAUUCACUUGUAACUUAAAUAUCAUGAUGAUCACCCAACUAACUUAUUAUAAUGCCAAACAUAAUGAGAAUACUUAAUAGUAAAGGCAUCUUUAUCAUAAGUAAGAACUCACCAUAUCUAUCCUGGAACUCAGGGGUUCCCUGUAGGAACUCCAAACCUGGAUGGGUUGCCAAAAGUUCUCGCAGGACUGGUUUAAAGUCCUCCUACAGGAACCCGGAGUAAAUUUAAUCAAUUUAGUGUCAAAAUUAGAAGGAAUGAAAUUAAUCUCCUAUAAUGAAUGUACCAUUAAUCUUCUGCUUAAGUCAGAUGAAGAUUGUGAACACCUGUCUAAGAAACAAUUUAUUUAAAUGCUUGGAAAGAGGAAACAAACCUGAGUAAGGUACUUGUGGUCCGGUUGCUUCAAAAUGGUAAAUAUUUGUGUAGCUAUAUCCUUUAUCAUCAUGUUACUGUUAAUCCAAUAUUCGACGAAUGAAUCCCUAAAAUAGUAUCAAAAAGUUACAAAUUUCAGUGUGACGAACACCUCCAAUAAUAAAAUAUAGAAUAAUAAGCAAACCUAAGUUUAUUUAUGAAUGAUCAUAGAACCUAUAUGUUGUAAAAGAGAAAGCUGAAAUAAAACAAUGACAAAUGAAACAAAUGACUAUAUUUGAAGAGGGUAAUUGGGAAUAAACUAAUUGACUUAAUAAUGUAAUGUAAUCAUUGUAGUGUCUUCACAAUUAAGCAAUGCAUUAAUUGACUUGACUACAUAAAAUAAAUCUUGAUGUCACCUACAACACUAAAUAACUCGAGCAAAAGCUUCAAAGAGUACCAUGGUCCCAAAAGAAAAGAACAUAGUAUUACCUACCACAUAGCACAUGCCAAGCUAACCUACAAUAACCGCACCCUAAUAUGUACCAUGACAAUGAAUUUACUGUUUUCCAACUAAGGCUGAAAAGACAGACACCUUUCCUGUCUCUGUCUUAGCAAGGUCCGAUUCUAAAAAAAAAACAAAACACAAAACUUAUAGUAAAAGAGGGUACAGCUGGCAACAAAAGCAGAAGGCAAGAACAUUAAGUCUUUCCAUUUAAUGGCAAUGAAAGUUAUUUGUAAUGGUGACUUAAUGUAUGAGGUUCAUGAGAUACCAUGAAGUCCAAUGUAAUUUGUCUAACCCUUGCAAACAUAGAGGCUAUAUUUAGGGGUCCUAAUAAGAUGUCUUGGACAGGAUUCAUGUCAAGUUGAGAGAGAUGAAAAUAAUGAGAUAACACCAUGAAUCCAUAAAAAUUUUUAUGAGAGAAAAUUUUAAACCAAAAUCAAACCAACUUAAUACUGAUGGAACCAUAUCUGCAACAUGUAUCUCAAUAAAUAAGUCAAAUCAAGUAAAAAAUGAUACCAUCAACUAACUUCAAUUCAAUAUGACUUUCUUACACAAAGAAAACUUGAGAUAUUAAUCCAAUCAACCUAUCAAUGAUGGUUAACUUCUAUAACCUAAUUGCAAGGAAACUAACAUGUAGAACCAAAAGCAUAAUUAACACAUUUAACCUGAUUGUUCAUUAUAUCAAAAUAUAUCAAGAUUAAUUAUGAAAACACAAAACCUAUUAACAAGGCAAUUUGCAACAUUUCAUUUAUGGUUUGAACCCAUAAAGUCCACAUGACCCCACUGGUUUCAUGUCAGGUCAUAUCGAAUUUGUGGCAAGUCAAUAAUAGCCACAUAGUUGUAUAUAUUAGUUAUCGUUCAAACUGUUUUCACAUCACAAGAAAAAAGAUACCUUACUACGGUGCCAAACUCCACCCCGUUCUGAAGUUCUAAGAUGGCUACUAAAUGUCCAAGUAUGACUCUGAAAAUACAGGUAUAUGACUGUGGAGAUUAAUUAUGAUUCCAUUUAAUGAAAAGAUGAUUUCUUUUGGGUACUACUUUCUUCCUCUUCUACCUUCUCUAUCUUACCCCCAGUCUCUCUCUUCAAAAUACUGCUGCUUUCUAUUUUACUAUGAAAAAAAACUAAUAUAUAUAUAUAUAAUUUCAUUCAAUACAUGCCCAGCUUCCUCACAGCCAGAUGUGGAUACAAUUUUAUAUUUGCAGUGGAAGAUGGUUGAUUAAUCAAGUAUAUGUCUAAAAUUUGACACAAGCACAUAAAUGCUUAAAAGUUUAACUUAAUGCACCAUCCAAUCCAGACCAUCUAUUAGGCUGAUAGCAGGCUAUAUGCAACCUGAUGUUACAUGCCUGCUAAACAAUAACAUAACAACAAAUCAUUUGAAUUUAUGGCAGGCUCAGGUUCUGAAAAUAUUCACAUAUGCUAUUUGCAGGCUGUGAUUAAACAAAUUUAGAACAUUACUGUGUAGAUUGUUGCAGAUAAUACAUCAGUCCCACAUCAUGAGAAAAAAUGGUUAAAAUCACAUUAAGAUUUAAGAUCAAUUGAGAGGAGGGAGGGUAAUGCUACUCUUUUGUGCUGGUUGUCACUUGCCACUAAUAAGAUGCAAUGACAUGAUCCCAAAUAUAAUCAACUUUCAGAAAAAGAAAAAGAUAAGCUUAGACUGCAAAGCAAUGGACGAUCAGAAAUUUUAUGAUUUUAUCUUGAAUAUUAAAGAAUUGGAAAAUAGUUUUAAGCAGCAGUAAAAGCUAAAUAACCAAUACAAGUUUAAGCAAUGAAAUUGUAGAAGCUCCCAAAGAUCAAUUUGUAGAAUAUAAGUAGUCUUGAUUCUUAUAAGGUUUUACAUACCUUGUUACCAUUCCAGUGCACUCAACAUCAAUUUUUCUGAAAAGAGAACUGGAAAGAAAUGAUGGUAACUUGCAGAUUUCCUUUGUCAGGGUUUUGAAUUCUAAAAUAGGAAAAACCAAGUUUAAAUGAUUGUCAUGCUGAUUAACACUAUAAGCGUUAGCAUGUGUCGCAUGCAAGUUCACCUUGUAUUUGUAGUCCGUCCAUGUUGCCAAAGAAAAGAUGAUCAAUUCUAGAUAAGCAUUGUUCCUUCAGUUCUCUUGGAGGAGGACGCCCAUAUUGGAAGUAGAACUGUGAUUGUAUCAAUCAUUUAAAAAUCAGUUAAAUAAUAGAAUCCUUAGCCACCUACAAAAGAUAUUUUAGUCUGCAUUGCGAAUAAAUAUGAUCAACAGUUAGACACCACCUGAGGUAUAACUUCUUUGACAGGUUCAUUAACUAAUUUUAGUGGAGAACCAAAAGGUGAAGGUCCAGCUGCUGAACUACUACGCUUCAUAAAACGAGGAGAUCCAGAUGUGCUCCUAGGUGAGAGAGGAGGCACACUGCCAGCAGGAAACAUGGAAGGCAGUGAAUUGUUAGCAGCAGCAAUUGCAGUACCAGAGCUGCCAGCAACAUUCAAAGGUGAACCUGCUUUUGCAUCUUCAAUCAAUGACUUAACCUGAGACCAAAGGCUAAACGAUGAGAUACUAAUGUGAAACAUUGGCAGAAGUACCCUAAUUACUCUUGAGUAUAUUUUAUCAAGAAUCCUUUAUAAUAGUUCAGGACAAAAGGUUGUUCUCUUUAAGAUUUUUUCCAUUUUACGUGAACUGGGGACAAAGGAUUUGCAGUCCCCUGCCUUGCCACUUGGCCAUGUUGUCAAGGUCGUAAAUGAUCAAGUGGCAUCCAAUCCAUGAAAUGAUUUGAUAUAUACACCGAGGCGUCUACAUAUCACCAACAAAUUACAGUCCAUCCCCUCUUCCAUUAUUUAAAUAUUUAAUCUAGUUUAGGGACAGAAAACUUAAUGAAUUGUAUCUAAAGACAUGGAAAGGGAUAUUUUUAUGACAGCAACAAAAGUCCAAGCUCAUGACAUCAUUGAUUUUGUAUCUCGAGUUAUUCAACGGUUUGGUAUGAGUUUUUUUUUUUUGCAAAUGUAAUUUUGUAAUUUGCGGAGUUGUAGCUCCAAUAGUGAAGGACCGAAGAAGAUUAGCCACCACUCGUCUUGGAGGUAGGUCAUAAUGGACACGUAAUAGGUUCUUGGUGCUUUAAUGAUACAGCAUAUGAGGAAUGACAUGAUUGGAAGUGGAUUAUAUUAACUGUCGUAUAGAAAUAAAUGUAAAAUAUCUAAGCCAGACUUAAGUGCAUUUAUACAUAUGUCUUAUGUCAUUAUCUUUGACGAUACAGUUUUCUUUUUUGAAUUCAACAUCAUCAACAUUAUGCUUUUUUUCGUCACUGUUCUCCAACAAGACCUUUUGAUGCUAUUUCUGACCUGCUAGCAUCAAUAUUCUCUUAUUUUGCUCUCUAAAUUGGUAUGAUACUAGGGCAAACAAAAGUUAUACUCACAAGAAAGAAACAGUGAAGUCGUCACAAGUAUGUUCAAGUCAUGGUGCAUUUAAUAUAAAUUUUCAUGAUGCGGUGGUAAUCAUAUCUAUUUCAGCUUAAGAAAUCUUACGCAUAUUAGAAUUUGAAUAUAUACAACAAUAUUACAGCUCUUAAAUUCCUUAAAUGAGCUCGUUAAGGAAUGUGUCUUAAUUUCAAAAGGAAUAAAAUAAUAACUUAAAUGCUCCUUCUAAUAUUGCAAAGAAUCAUAGGCAUAUAUGCCAAGAAAAGACUCUAAAUCUUCAACAAAGCCAAUUAUGCUAAGUUGCUAACUGAUCUCCAGAAACAAGAGGGCAGAGCAUAUCAUGCACAUUACCAACAGAGACAUCCUGAAUAGAUAGCUCAUCAAUUUUUGAGCGAAAGAGUCCUUAAGAUCAACAAAGGUAUGUUAUGCACAACUAAGCGUCCCACCACUUGGCGCAAAAGGUUAACAGAAGAGUAAACAAGACUAGCUGAGUUGAAUUGACUGUCACAGGACAAAGAAGGUAAAGAAAACGUACCAAUUUCCUCGUUUCUGGCAAUGAGAGCCACUGGCAAUACAGGUCUUCAGCUAUUUUAGGUUUCUCCUUCAGAGCUAAUUGAGAUACCUCCGGAAGCUGCAGCAGCUCCGGGUCAAGUGAUGCCAUGUCCCUCACCAUAUCCGUAUCCAUUCCAACCAAAUCCUUCCUCGCGCAUAAAACGAGAACAGAAACAACCAACAAAAAGAAAACCGGAAACCCUGGAUCCCCAAGCUUUCUUGACCAAAGAAUCCAAAAAUCAAAUCCUUGGUUUAAAAAUCACGGGCAACAAACCCUAAGCCUUCCAAUCCGAUCGUCGCCCUCCCUACCCUUCUCCAUCUGCACAUUCUAGCAACCAAACCUCGAAUCCCUCCAACGAGUUGUCAAAUAAAUCCAAGAAAUCCUAUAUUGGAAGCUGAGAAGCUGGAGAAACCUCAGAUCGCUUCGACUCGGCGGGAUCCUGGCUUAACCCGACACCGAAGCAAUAUGAAGCGAGAUCGUCCUCGAAAUCUCUCUCUCGGAAGACCGGAACCGAUGGCAAGCGGAGGAAAGCACGAUGAUUGUAUCUGGAACGGGAGGGAACUCGGAUCACGGAGCUCGCGGCCCUCGAGGACCAAGGUGAGAAGAGGUGGCUUUGGACCUCGAAACGCCGAGAGAGGAAAGAGAAAAGUGAGAAAGCAGCAUGAUCGUCGCCCAUCAUAUAUAUAAUACUAUUUAAUUGAUUGAUAUAAUUGACAUGAGCCGUCCGAUUUGUCAUAACCAUGCGGAAUGAGAUCUGCGGCCGAUAGAAACAGACGAGUCCAUCAGAGGCUUCGGAUCAAUUACAUCAUCGAUGGACCCAAACCACUAAGAACGCACCACGUUGGUCAUUCUGCAACGAGGUGGCCCAAGAGACGCGUGGGGCCUAAUUAGGCGGACUGAAUCAGCCGCGACAAUUAUCAGGGUUGACAUGGUCUCGUACAGAUCUGAUGUGUCACAUGGACUCCAACACUCAAGAUUAUAAAUGAGGGUGAUACCAUCACCGGAAAUUUUACAACUGAGUUUGGUAUAAUUGUUAAUCUAAUCGAUCCAUAAUUGAUCAUAAUGAAAAGGAUCUGAGAUGAUUCAGCAUUCUGAGCUUGUGCUUUGAGUGAGAGGAUCAAUAAAAUAAAAAAAUGGAACAACUCACUCAAAAUUUUUUUUUUAUUUUAAUACAUAUAACUAUCAAUAAUAAUAUAAAUUAUAGGCAAAAUCAUACUAUGCAUCGCAUUAUGUCAAUUACGAUAAUAAUCACUUUUUCAAUAAUAAUAAUAAUAAUAAUAAUAAUAAUAAUAAUAAUAAUAAUACAUAAAUUUUAGGUAUUUUCCAAUCAGUACCUUUAUUAUAUUUUUUAAAUAAUAUCUUUAAUUUAAUAAUAAUAAUAAUAAUAAUAAUAAUAAUAAUAAUAAUAAUAAUAAUAAUAAUAAUAAUAACUGUCCCUUAAAAAUGUUUACAUCUGUUGCAUUGACUUGGCUUGUUACUACAUUUUUUUUUGUCUCGUACAGAGUUUUAGUCAUCAUAAUAAAAAUACUAUAAAAAACAUACUAAAAAAUAUUAUAAACAAUCGAAAUGGAUUUUCUAAUCUCAAUCAGACUAACUAUAAAUCUAAAAAAUAUAAUAUUAUAAAAAUAUAUAAUAUAAUAUCACUUACAGUAUUUUUUUAAUAAUAUUUAUAGUGUUUUUAAUACCUCAAUAAAAAUAUUAUACUGAAAAUAAUAUAAAUACUAUUGAAAAAUGAAUCAAAUGAAAACAUUGUAACGGUUGGAAACUGAUUUUAAAAAGGUGACAAAUUCGGUGGAAAAACUUUUGAGGGAUAUUUUAAUUUUUUUUUUAAUUAGGGAUAUUAUUUAAAUAAUAAUAAAAUUUUUAAAACUAUAUUAAAAAAAAGAGUAUUUUCUAAAAAACCGUUCUAACUAUAACUAAUAAUAAUAAUUAAUAAAGCAACUAACAACGACGAAAACCAAAGACAGACUUGGAAGGCAUCGAGACGAGGAUCUGAAACAGGUUCGAGUAAAGAGAACGCCCCCCUCCUUCAGGCGUCUCGUCGAACACCUAACCGACACUCUUCAAAAACCCUGCUCGACCUUAUUGGCAUUAAAAGAACCUAAAUUUCCUGAUUCCCAUCGACAACAUCUCCGCCCCGUAUUUCGGGUGGUGAUUUCCGGCCAUCGUAAUCCUUCACGGCACAACUUGCAGUACAUGUUCAUAGCAAAGAGACCGGUGAUUCGACCCGAGCCCGAUGAGCCGACGCUCCGAGCGCAUUCGGAUGAACGUGGGGAUGGAGGGCCCGAAGAAGCAGCCGCCGGCUGAAGCGUAGCAAGGUGGGGAUGUGGGCCGAGAGCUAAAGCUUCAUACAAGAGGAGAGGUGGUUAGGUUGGUCCGUGGACGAGAAGAGGAGUCCAAAGAUGUCAUUUUGAAGACCCCAUCGAUAAUAUAAACCUUGAUAAGAAUCUUGUACAUAUAUGUGGUUAAUACAACCUUGAUUCUUUUCUGUCAAAAUAAUCUUUGGUACCUCCGACCUCCCCUCCCAUCCCACGUCUUCCCGAGGAACCUAUUCUUUCUGCUCUCACCUGCUUAAAAGAGACCUUCUUUGUCUCACAAAAAUCCAAUUAUUAUCCAGUUUGCUUCCAACUGUUCUUUCUUCUGUUUGAUGGUCUCUUCAUCCUUUCUUGAUUUCCGAUCAUCCGAGACGGAAAAGUUUUGAUCUUUGCAUUCUUAAUGUCCUUUCUUGAGUUCUGAUCAAUCGAGAAGAAGAACAAAGAUUGAUCUUUGUAAACAUCGGGAAAAAAGUAAUUUACGGAUUCGACGAUCUGCGAUCGAAGCAGCCGGCGGGAGAUCAUGUCGUCGUCGUCGCCGCGGUGGGUGGAGGAGGUAGCAGAGGAGGAGGCGUUCGAGCACACGCUGCUGGUGGUGCGGGAGGUAUCGGUCUACAAGAUCCCGCCACGGAGCACCAGCGGCGGGUACAAGUGCGGCGACUGGCUGCAGUCCAACAAGAUCUGGUCGGGCCGCCUCCGGGUCGUCUCCUGCGGUAACCGCUGCGAGAUCCGCCUCGAGGACCCGGGCUCCGGCGAGCUCUUCGCCGCCUGCUUCGUCCUCCCCGGCCAGCGCGAGAGCUCUGUUGAGCCCGCCCUUGACUCCUCCCGCUACUUUGUGCUGAAGAUCGAGGACGGCCGCGGCAAGCACGCCUUCAUCGGCCUCGGGUUCAACGAGCGCAACGAGGCCUUCGAUUUCAAUGUGGCCCUCUCCGACCACGAGAAGUACCUGAGGAGAGACCACGAGAAAGAGGCGAGCGAGGAGAUCGAUGAGAGCCAGAUCGGUAUACAUCCCUCGGUGAAUCAUCGCUUGAAGGUACUCUUUGCAUGUGCAAUCCUAUGGUUGGCACUUGAUCAGUACAUCUCCCUGAUUGAUUUCAUCAUCAUAAUUAUUCUUUUUAGCAUCGAUUUAUUGAUUUUGUGUUGAUAAUCUCAUAUUGCUUGAUUGAUAUACCAUGCAAAAUUACAGCACUUGAUCUUUGCAGUGGUGUACAAGUUUGUACUUUAGAUUGCUACCCCACAAUGUUCUUUUCCUGCUUUUAAUGUUUGUUCGACAUCUUUGUGGUCAGCUUUUUGCAUUCAUUAGUACUAUUAGAAAUAUGUAGUGAUCUUCUGAUCUCUUGGAAGGUGUGAGGGUAAAUAUCCUAUUAGUUAGACUUGAGGACUUUUGACACUCUUCUAGUCUGUACUUAAAUCUUUGUUUUUUGGUUUAUGUUAAAUGAGCUUAAAGUUGGUUAUGUUGUUCUCCCUAUCACAAAUGUUAAUGCAGCAUUGCCGAGUUAUUGUCCUCUGACUGGUUUAUUGAAAACUCUAUUGGUCAUUUGCCUGUCAGAAUGGCUGAAUGGGUUCUUUUGAUUUUUGAAAUGUACACAAUGCUCAGUCAACUCUUAUGAUUGCCAUAAAUGUUGCCUUCUUCCAUCAAGAUUUAGUCAAUUUAAGACCAUGCACUAGAAUGAAUAAAUUAUUUGGAAUGUUUGAUAGAAUUUUUAGGAUGGUUAUCAACCUGAUGCCUAAAUCCGUGGCAAAUUCUAACUGAGGCAUAUUUAGGAGAGGAACUUAGCAUAAAGCUUAAAUUGUUAUCUAUAAUUUAAACUCAUUAAACCAAUAGGCAAUUGUUCAGUCAACUCUUACUGUUGUCUUUAUUGUUGCCUUCUUCCAUCAACCUUGAGUCAAUUUAAGACAACUUGGCAAAUUUUAGGUUGGGUUGUCUACCUGAUGCCUAAAUCCUUGGCAAAUUCUAGCCAAGGCAUAUUUAGGAAACGGCCAUAGCGUAAAGCAUAAAUUGUUAUCUAUAAUUUAAACUCGUGAAACCAAUAGGCGAUCAUCUUGGGGAUAAAAAAGAAGGUGAAACAACCAUCUUUGCUCUAGGGAUAAAUGGAAAUAGUGAAUAUCUCAAACAUGACUAAUAAGCCAAUAGUGAAAUGACUGUAUGCCUUGAAAUUUCAUUGCAAGGAAUGGCAUGUGUAUCUACACUGUUUAUAAAGCAUAGGCCCUAUGCUAUGCAAAGGUAGGAAGCUUCUUGGUGAUGUGUUAGGACCUUGUCCAUUGAAUUAUACUAAGUACCUAGCAUCUUUUUAUUUUUCCAAUAAGCUUAAGAAGUCUUGAUAUUCUUCAACAUCAUGAACUUGGGAAGAGUUGCAAUGUAAGUGAAUAUUGUAUCAAUGCAUGAAAAUACUUUAAAUUAUUUAGUAUAUCAAUAUUGGAUAUAUGGUGGAUAAGAUACUAGUAGGAUCCUUGUGGAUACAUGUCAAAUACUUUCCCGAGGUAUUCAGUAUGCCUAUGGUCUUUAGAUCACUUGUGGGUCCUUCUUUGGUAACUUGUUUACUUAAUUGUUGAUCUUUUAUUCUAGAUCAGAUAUAUUUUUCAUGUGAUUUGUAUUAAGCAUCAAAUAGUGAUGAAUUAUAAUCUUUCCUCGAUCAUUAAAAUUUUUGUUAUAUGCCUACGUUCAUGAAUCACUGAAUAACUAAAAAUAUAUCUCUCAUGAUGAAUAAUCAGGAAUGCAGCUAUUAUUUUCAUGAUAUGUGACUACAUAUUCAAAGUGUAUAAAUAAAUAUGAAUCUUUGUCAAAUAUAAUAAUACUAUUUGUUUAUAUAAUAUAUAAGUGGCCACAUUGUUGAUAUGGAAUCAAGUUUGUAAAGGAGUUCCAGGGAGUUUUGAGAGGAUGUGUUGAAAUAAUGCUGUUGGUAGCACAUUCUAGCCUGACACUGAUGCUAAUUGCUAAUGAAAUGUUGAUUGAAUGAAUCACAUAAAUCAGUAAAAAUAUCAGAAAACAUCGUGUUUAAGGAAAAAAAAUCAAAGUAUUUGUUGAUUAUUGGCAUCUUACCUAGGACUGCAAGAUGCAUGUUACUCAUCAAUAAUGAUAUAUUACUAGAAAGUUUGAUCUUAUUUUUGAAUCUGAUAUUUUUUUCGUUACUAUAUUGAAAUAUUGGCCCUACAUUAAACUUUUAUUUCAUGUGUGCUAUUUCAUUAUUUUGUUUUAUGCUACAAUUUAUUCUUUUUCUUUAUUUUUUCAUAUUUUGUGGCUUCUAUUACUCAUUAUUAUGUUGUUUAUUUUGCACUGUUUGAUGUACUAUGUUUUCUAGUUGAUUAAAAUUUUGAUGCACCAAUUAUUUUGGGAUGUUAUGGAUCAGAUUGGCCAAUUUUUUAAACCAUGAUUUUAUGAAAUGCUAUGAUGAAUUCUUUAUUAUAUUAUGAUCCCUUAUGACAGGCACAUUAGGAAGUUCUAGACAUCUUUAUCGAAUUUUAUAUGUAGUUCAUUUUAAAAUAGAUAUUAACUGUGUUGGUUAUACAUUUCCAGAAUUAAUUACCUUUUUUUAUUCUGUACCUAAAUUAAGCCUAUUAACUGCAUCUGAAGUACUUUACAGUUAAAAAUUUGUCUCCAUCUUUUUUUUCCAUUUUUUCAUCAGUGUCCAAUGGCAUGAACCUUUAUAGAAAAGAAAAAGAAAGAAGGUUGCUUAUAAAUUAUUAAAGUUAUAAUAUUGUUCUCUUUUAAUCUUUUGCUCAGACUUGAUUCAAAACUUCUAGCAACUUUUUGCAAUAAUGCAAAACUACAUUUACAAUGGCCUACAUUAUUACCUGAUAUUAGGGCUUUUAAUAGUAAAAUUUAUAGCAAAACAUGCAACAGAGUGAAGACCUCGAAGUUAUGAACUCGAUGAUAUUUUCUCUUUUUGUUUAGCUUUCUUGUUGUAUAAUUUAUUUUGUGCUUUUUCUAAGUGGAUUCUACAGUAGAAACAGAUCCUAUUUAACAUUGAGAUUGGAUCUCCGAAUUCGAUGAUUGGGAUUGCAUAACAUAGUGAAGAGGGAUAUGAAAACAUUUUGAAUUGAGACGUAGAACCUGUAUAGCAGUUGACGCAAAAUGCUGACUGUUGCCAUAAAGUUUGCUAAGUUGAUCUGUCACCAGUGUGACACUCUGAAGUAAAUCCUUAUUUUUAACUAGUGGGUUUUUACUGACAACUUCUGUUUUUAUGUACAUAAACCAAAUGUUUAGUUAUUACAAAACCUUUUUUAUGCUCCUGUUUCUCUAUGCAGUUCUUAUUUGCUUGAAGGUGGAGCAUGAUGGGCAUUUAAACACUUCCAUUAAGUAUCAUAAUAUGUGCACCUUAUAUUGGUCUCCUCUUCAUGUACAAAGAUUCACAAUCUGAUUUUUAUUUUCCUUUCUUGGUUGCCUACCAUUAUGUGGCACUCCGUUAUUUCUUCUGUUCCGUGUUACCAUACCUUUUAUCCAACAUCUAGGAAGGAGAAACCAUUCGCAUAAAUAUGAAGAACAAACCUGCUACGGGAGGUGGUAUGCUUUCAGCUGCUGGCUUGAGUGCAGGAAUCUCGAGCAAACCAAAAGGGAGCACACUCCUUGCACCACCACCAGGUGGGGCAGGAAAGGUCAGGUCGCCUCUUCCACCACCACCUAACGAUCCUGCAGUUGCUAGGAUGACUGCAGGUCAUCCUGCUGGAUUCAAGGCUCCCAAAGAAUCUACAAGGCAUCCUACUGAUUCUUUCUCUGAUCUUUCAGCCAUCAAGGUAUAACUCUGUGCGCUGUUAGAUUCUAUACCUUGCUUCUCAAUUUGUGAAAAUGGGAAAAUUUUAGUCCAAAUAAUGGAGUAUAAUUUUUGCACUAUGAUUUGUGCCAACCACUUUGCCCCAUGUGGCUGGCCUGGUACUUUCAGAACAAGGUUCGAUUGCUUUCUGCUCUUGUGCAUAAACUGAAGCUUCCUGGUUAGCUGAGAAAUUAAUCUCCUCCACUUGUCUUCUCCUUGGCUUCUUUAAUAAAAAUAUUCUGCCUCUUCAGCUUUUUUUAUCUUCAUAAUUGACAAGAUUCAUACUUGUGCUCAUUCAUUAACUUAUUUGUUUUUAUAGUCUUAAUGCUACAUCUGAGUUGCUUGAAAUAUCUAAGUCGCUUUCUUGAUGAUGUGCGUGCCAGUAAUCUCUGUGCCAACUUUUCAGUGCGUUUGGAUCUUAUUCUUGUUACUUAUGCAGAGAAAUCUGCCUUCUACGACUGGGUCAGGUUCGAAUAAAAACACAGCAUCUGGAUGGGCAUCAUUUUGAUGCAAAGUAACAUCAUCUACUAAGGGAACAAUACGCAAAUGCUCGCAUUUCCUAAGUAUCUAAAGAAUGAUUACAGGAAAAUUACUUGUUCUUAUUUUAGUCAUGGAUUGGACUGUCAAGUGCUUGGUGUAAGUGAGAGCAACCUUCUUCUUUUUCAUUUCCAUGAAACCGAUGUAACCUGAUUCUGAUCUUAUCUGUAUACAAGACAUUGUUGAAGUUCCUUAAAGGUUGUUUUGAAUCUGUGCUGUAUUGCUUCUUUGUUGGAAGUGGAAUCCUCUUUGAAUCCCACAGAUUUCAUUGAAAACUUUGCUGAUAAUGUUCAUAUGAAUCUCUUCUAAUGUGCAUCACUACAUCUGAUGCAAUCUAAUCUAUCCAGUAUAAGUCACUUUGGUGGGAGGAGCUGCACCAGACCCAGACUUAGUCCGGUUCUGUGAACAUGUCCAUUAUUGAUCUAUUACAAAUUUAAUACCAUUUUAAUCUUCUAUAAAUUUGAUAGAUUAAUUUAAGAAGUUGGGAGGAUAUCGAGGGGAUGCUAUUUAGAUAGACUGAACUAUUCCUAUGACCACUAACAGACCUGAUGUAAUAAUGCAAACCAUGAGUUGAUCCACUAAGAUUUUAAUUUCGAUCCCUACCAAUAAUACCAAUCAGUAUUUACCGAUCCGAUCAUGAACCAAUAUCAUCAGACCAGACCAUACCAUACGGAUCUCUAGACUCUGUCGUCGUGUACUAUUUAUUCUUAGAUGAGUUUUCUAUCUAUCCCUCUUCACUGAACCCAACUCACAAGACUGCAGAGUGAACCCAACUGUUUAGCUAUCCAAUUAAUUGUUCUUCAAAUGCGUCAAGAACUGUAGUCGAAGAACAACACUGGACUUUCAUGAACCACCAUCCUUCUCCUCUUAACCUGGCCUGAUGUGAUGUUUGAUCUCCGUUUGUGCCACUGUUAACGUACAAAGCAUUAAGCGCCACUUCCUAUUUACAUUUUGCAAAUAAAUCCAAGAGAAAGUUUCUUCCCCCAACUCUCUUCCACUUGUUUUCCAUGAAGUUCUUCACAGCUUCAAAGUUCAAAAUACUCGGAUGCACCAAGAAGUAACAACAAAUGACCCACACAACAUCAUCAAACCGAGAGAUAUGGAUGGCGUUGAUGUCUGAAUACGGAGUUGAGUUCCUAGUUUAACACAAAACAUGGACAAAAGUUACAAGACUUCUAAGCAAUAUUCAUAGGCCCAAUAUAUAUAUUACACAUAUUAAAGACACUUCAGUUAAGCUCCUCUAUCUACACUUGCAACCUUGAAAGACAGUACUAAUGGAAGUUACUCCAUGAAUACAAACAAUAAAGUUUCCAAGACUCGCCUAACAGCACAAGGCAUAGAAUGAGUCUUAAUUUCUUCGACGCUUGAGCAUAUAGUUUGAAGCAAAACCUAGAUCCAUCAAACCCCAAGAGAUCUAAACAGGUGAGGUGCACGAUACUUCGCUUUAGAACAAUAAAAAAGUUCAAAGCUCAGUACUUAUUCAGAACAUCUCACACCCGAAAGAUACACUAGAGAUUGUAUAACACUGCCUCCAAUCAUAAAACCUGGCAUGACCAUAAGCCCAACUUUAGGCUUUGAAUCUCCCUCUUCGAGAAUUAUGUUCUUCACAACACUUUCCAUAUAGACCUCCGAGAACUCGAUUCCUUUCUUCACCUGAAAAACCUCCACUUUAGGAUCAAAUGAAUACGCUAGCCUAUGUAAUAGCCAUACCGAUUUAGCCAGCUUUAGAAAAGCCUGGUAGAAUGGUGUCCUUGGGUGUCCACCACUCAUUACAUAGUUUCUCUGAUCCAGGUUACCGAAGAACGAGGCUUCCAUCUUUGGGUGCACGACUAAUAGGUACUUUUUCCGUGAGAACUUCCCAAAAACCGAGUCCGGAUUUUGGCUCAAUACAUCCAGUGGAUCCAUAGCUCUUAUAGCAAGAAACUGAUGGAAGAAACCCUCAUGAGAAGCAGUAAGAUUGGAUGGUUCCAUGGAGAAGUUCUCCUGGAACCCACUGAACAUUUUCUGACAAAUGUGUGACUCAAAUGCAUACUUCUUAUGAGCCCUUUUUGCAUAGACAACUGCAGAUUCAAUUGCGUUGGCUGCUGCAUCAAGAUCCCACCUGGCCAUUUUCAUCAUGUUAAUCAGUGGUUUUGAGAAGUCAUGGAUGGAUUUGUAUGCUGUGUCCACAGCAGAAGAGAAAAGACUCGGAGUCAACUCGAUGGAGAAGAAACUGUUUUCUUCUUCAAAAGCCUCUGAUUCCUUGGGAAGCAGACCCCUCUGCUUAAGUUUCUUCUCCAAUUUCAUCUUUCUCUGGCCGGACUCCUGGAUUUGUUUCUGCAUUUGAACAAUCUCAGAGUCUCUUGUUUGAAUCUGGGACUGAAAUUUCUUUACCAUGACUUCAUAGGUUUUGAGUAAGUUUUGUUGCUCUUGGAUUUCAGCAAGUAGGCGUGAAUCUUUAGGUGAUGCUGAUGUGAGUUUGGGGUUUUUAUCCCUAUAGGAAUGUUUGAGUUCGGAAAGCUUCAUUAGUUCCUCAAUUACAAGUUUAUCAGCAGCCUGUAUCUUGUCCGGAUCAUAGGGAGUAUGAGCAUUCUGAAGUUGAAUGUAUGCAGCUUUCAGAGAGGAAAUGUUGUUGAAGAUCUUUAAUAUCAGUGCAUCCAUGGAUUCCUUGUUAUGAUUCACAGUCUCAUCUAUUGGUUGAGGAUAAACCUUCUGGUUAUUGUUAUCAUGACUUUCUGUUUCCUUGUGCCCUGUUCGUAGCAUAGCUUCCUUCCCUGAAGUAGCAGCUCUUGUGGUUCUUCUUUGACAGACAACAAACAAACCUCAGCCUGUAUAAUUUCCUAAAUCAUGUAACAGUGUAUUAAUAUUUACAAAUAAAGCAAUUAUGGUUUAGAACUUAUACAGCCAAGUAAAACUAGAAAUAUCAGCAGGAUAACAUUCGAUGGCUCAAAUAUUCUCGUGUAGUUCAAUAUAAAAAAAAAUCCAAUUUAUACACCUUUCAUGAACUCUUCCCAAAUGGCCCAGCAUUAUGGUCUCCAUGUAUGUUCCUAGCUGGCACAAAAGAUAAGUAACCCAAGGUAAACUGAAUUUUCUAAAUAAAAAUAAGAUGGCAAAACUGUUUAUUCCCAAGAAUUGCUCAUUAUAGGUGCAGUAUUGUCCAAAGAAACUUCACCAACAGAGUGUGAUUUUUCAAGGGAUUUACAGCAGGACUUAAAACAGGAUCUUUUCUAAAAUGCAAGUUAGAAUUGCAUAUUUGUUUGCAUGCUCCUCAGCGAUGUUUCAUUUCCGCUACUACUUUCUCCUGUAAUAAGCCAAUGACUGAUGAUCUGGUAUCGAAGAGACUGGAGAAACAGGGGAGAAAAGAGAGGAGAUGGAGGAUCAAGCCCAGUGAAACCAUAUUAAAAUAUAGCAGUUCUGUAGCAAAUAAAGAUCAUGGGGUUUUUCUUUUGGGAAGCAGAUAUUUGCUUCCAUGUAUCACUAUUUAAUCUACAUGGCCAAGUAGAAACGUGAAUAGGUAAACAGUUUUUCAUGAAAUACAGGAAAUGAAUUAUGAACAUCUAUACAAAGAAAAGUUCAAAUUCAAGCUCAAACAUGUACGUAUACAACUCAAGCCAUAUUCGCAUAUUUUGCAAUCACAAGAAGUUAAUCUAAUAAAAAAAAGAAGAAAACAAACAUACAACGUUUCUUUUGGGCACUUUAUAAAUCCACAAUAUAACUAACUUGGUGUUAAUCAGUUUUCAUGUGGUAUAUGCAUCAUACAUCAUCCAUUUGAAAAUUUUAAUGGUUGUGAUCCACAAAUGAACUCUCAUUCAUCCUUUCAUCCAGAGAUCUAAUACCUAAACUGUGCAUUCAAACCUUCAAACACGUGAUAUUCAUACAUUUCUUCCAAGAGAUUGCAAUAGCAAAUACAAACUUAAUUGUAAGCCAUAAAAUUAUUUCAGUCCAACAUAAGUUUAACGAAAUAAGAUCCUAAGCAAAUCAAGUAAAAAUCAUACAUUAAUUAAACAUGCAGUAAUCAUAAAAUGACAAAGCAUCUUCAGAGUGUAUAAUAUAUUCAGCAAAGAUAGAACUUCCUAUUUAACUUGGAAAACUUUUAUCGAAAUUAUACAUGUCGAAUACAAGCUAAGAGGUCAGCAUCAUCUAUAAUCAUGCAGGAAGACAGCUUGAUAAUUGGUUAAAUUUGCUUAGUUAUGCGUUCCGAGCUCAUGAGGCCAUGUUUUGGUGACAAAUGCAAAAGGAAUUCUUUUGCUUUGGUCUACCCACCUUCUAAGCUAAGUGAUAACGGCCGUUUUAGCCCUAAAAUCUUUCUGUUUUGCAGCAUUAGAUGACAUAAAUCAGGAUGAAAAAGAGUGCAGGUACAUGCCUCUCUAUACAUGCACAUGCCAUAUUUAUAUCAUUUUUUCUAUGAAAAUAAUAAACAAACAUUACAUAGAAGGAUAUGAAGUCACCAGUUAUUUCCGAGUUCUAAAAACUUGGACAAUCUCUAUUUGCACAGGCUGAUCUGUGUACAAGCCAAAUAUCUGAGAUAACGAUUCUAGUUCUUGGAGAGUCAAGAAUCGGAAAGAAUUGGCCAAUCAGCAACAGGAUCAAAUGGGAUUAGCCAACCCUCCUAAUCUUAGCCAUGAUCCAAGCAGAAGAAGAGAAAGGAGGAAAGAAAAAGAUACGAAAAGAGAGGGAAUGAAAAGAGGAAAGGAACUCAACUUCAGAAUAUAGAAUUUAGAAAAAGAUACCAAGGGGGGUUUAAAGGGUCCUUUUUUAGGAUUCAGGAAUGAUAUCAGAGAAAAAACAGAAAAAAAUUAUUCACCAUUGAACGUUUAGCUUAUAUCGAUCUAGAAGUUAAAAAAGAAAUAAAAACCAAAUGCAAUUUAGAAACAAGGAUACAAGUUAAGCAGUAGAAUUCCCAAAUACAAUUUAGUUAAGGUUCAUUUGUAGAAAAACUAAUAGUAGACUGCUUCAUAAAGUUGUAGCAACAAGAGAAAAUGAAUAGAUAAUGAAUAGAUAAAUAUCAGAAUUCUUAGAAUUGACUGGAAGACCAAGUCAGAGCAGUCCACGAACUAUACUAGGAAAUAUAGACUAUAUAAGAGAUCAGAUCAAAGAAGCAGUUGAAUUAAUAAAGCAAAGUCCUAAUAAAAAGAGCUGAAAAAGGCCGUAGAAGCAAUAAACAUCACUGAUCCUAAAACUAUUAAGCUAGAAACUAAACAAUUAUUAAUUGACUUACAAAAAGAAGUAGACUAUGUUAACGGAAUAAUAAAAAUUUGCAAAUACAAAUAAAAGAUAGAAAUAAGAUUGUGCAUGAGUAAGGUGGAUAAAACAUUAGGAAAAGCCAUAAACAAACCAAAGGCUAAAAAUAUACCCGCAGUAGACUUUGACACAGCCAAAUACGAUAAAAAUAGCAAUAAAAAAAGGACUUCGAGCAUCAAAAGAUUCAAUACAUGCAUAAAGAAUGCUACAAGACUGGCUAACAUAACAAAAAAGACAAAAGUUGCAGAUUACUUGCAGACAAAAAAAGAUCAGUGCAAACACUCUAUUAGUCGAUCAGAAGCACCAUCUCCACCUUUACAGAAAAAAAGUUCCUCUUUUUCUUUUUUCCCAUAGUCAUCUAACCGAGUUAUCAACUUGAAGCCGGACAUGGAAACAUAAGAAAUCGCAGAAAGGGUAAGUACUCGCCUUCUGCUCUAUAUGGUUUAUUCCGCUCAUCGAACAAUAAAGACAAGCAGAAUCUAAGCAAACGAGAAGCGACUGGGAGUGAUCUUACUCUUUCUCGUCGAGAAUGUGGAAAUCGACUGCGAGGAGGCACUCGGAUCGGAGGAUAUCGAAGGAGGAGGGUGGCCGGAACGCCUUUCCUAGGGCUCACUUUCCCCGUCGGCUCGGCUCCCGUACUGCAUAGCUAGCUAGGUGAGGUCAUGUGUAAAUUGCAGAUAUACCCCUGUAAACAUUUGAAAUUGUGGUCCUUUUUCCACAUUAUUAAUGAAGGACAAAUAUAUAUAUAUAUAUAUAUAUAUAUUAAUAGAAUGACUUGGAAAUAAAAUUUAAAUAAACAUAAGUACCUAAAAAAUUAUUUAUAUUAUUUAAAAAACAAAUUGAACUGAAUAUUUUUCUAUUAUUUUCAAAAUUUAUUAACCAAGAAAUAUAUUGUAUAGAUGUUAAGUAAUGUUAUAAAUUUGAACUGAAACCAUAUUUUAAUUAAAAAUAUUUAUUAUUGCAAUGUAUAUUUAUCUCAUAUUUUAAAUUAAACAUAGCACAUGGUAAGAAAUUAGGUUUCAAAAUUUAGUAUCCAAACCUCCAAUUAGGUCUAUAUGAUUCUCAUAUAAUAUUUUAGUUAUUGUAUGUGUUCAAAAUUUAAUUCUAUAUUUUUGUUUCACUUCAACUUUUUAUUAAAAAAAAUUAACUAAAUUUUAAUUAAUCUAAGGAGGAAGAGAACAAUGGGAAGGUGGCAAAGGAGGAAAUAGAUGAAGAAGAAAAAGAAGAGAGGAGGAUCAAUAGGAGAGGAAGGAAUUGGAGGAGGAUAAUAGGGAAGAGACCGAGGAGAAAGGCUUUGGAAAUUAUGAAGGGUUAUUGAUCCGAAUCGAUUGAAAGAAUAUAAAAAUAUAUAUUAUUUCUAAGAUUGAAGAUAAAAUUAAAUUUUGAAAAAAAAAAUAUCUUUCAGUAAAUUAUCCAUCUUAAAAAUAAUAUCUUAAAGAGUAUAUUAUAUAAAGAAAAUAAGAAAAAAAAAAUUCACACUAAUUGAGUAUUUGUAAUGCAAUAGAUAAAAACUACGUUUUAAAUAUUAAGUAUUGUCUCAUAAAAUUAUAUUUCAAAAGUUCAUUGAAUAUUACGUGACAAAUUUAUUCUUCUACUAUUUUAAAUAUUUAUUCAAAAGUGACUACAUAUUUUUUAUUUGAAUUAAUAAUUAAAUAAAUGAUGUUAAUUUCUCAAAAAUAAUAUAAAAAAUAAAAUAAAAUUCAACCUUGUAGAAGACAUAAAUGGUGUUAAUUUCUCACUAAAUCAUAUGAACAAUUCUAUAAUUUUAGAUAAUAUUAUAGAAUAUUUUAAAAAUUUUAAAAAUUAUAGUAACAUCCCACAAAUAAUAAAAUGCUAAUGGGGAUUUAAACAUUUGUAAUGCACCAUUUAGGCCAAAUCCAAUUGAAAAAAACAAAAAAAAGAAAACUUACUAAACACCAAAUUACAUAUAAAAUAUGUAUUAAGUCCUCGUUGCAUAUUUUAAAUGUGUGUUUCCAUGGGCACCCUCCCUAAAUCACACAAAUCCUAUGGAGGUUGAAUAGUAUUAUUAUCUUCACAUUAACAUCAAAUUUCAAUAGAGAAUAUUAUUUUACAGAUUAGAUCUAAGUUAGCAUCGCAUGAACAUUCUAAGAUGGUAUAAAAUAUUUAGUUUUGUAAGGUCAUAAUGCUUGGUUGGGGAGCAAUCAUAACCGUAAAUGUCGUCACAUUAGAUCCAUCCAUAUUAGAUAUAAUCUCUUUUGAGUUUGAUGAAUAAUAGUGGUAAAUAUAUCUAUCUAUCUAUCUAUCUAUUUAUAAUAUAACAAAGAGAGGUUGAGCUCAAGCCACACUGGAUUUCAUAUCUCUUUAUAAUGUGACAAAGGGUGUGUUUGAUAACACAUUUACUUUUUUUCUUUUUAAUGUAUAAUAGAGAAAGCGAUAAUGAAUGUAUAGUUGUGGAAUGUGUUUGGUAAGUAAUCGAUAAAAACUAUAUUGACAUAAGUGUUAUUUGGGUAAAAUUAAGUAUAUUUGAAAACUUCAAAUUAAAUAUUAUGAGACAAAUUUAUCAUUAUAAUAUGUUUUAAUAUUUAAUUUAAUAUAUAUAUAUAUAUAUAUAUAUUUAAAUUAAUAAAUAUAUGGAAUUUUUUUAAAAAAAUAUAUGAUUUUUAGAGAAAAUAAGGAUUAGGAUGUCAAUUAUAUGGUGAUAAUCUUAUGAUUCUAAAGAAUAUCAUAGGGUAUCUUAGAAAAUUAAAAAAAAAUCAUUAACAUCCCAUAAAUACUGAAAUGUUAAUACUAUGAUUUUUUUUAAAAAAAAUAUAUAUCAAACAUCAUUGCACAUUUAAAAUAUAAAAUAUAAAAUAUAAAAUAUAUCGAACAUCAUAAUAGGAAAAGUCACAUGAGAGAAAAUUUCUUGGAGUUCCGCGAACGACAAUGCUAUGGAUCAGAAACAUUUUACGUCGACAUUAAUUGUUUCACGCGUUGAAUGGUCACUUAGAACAACAAUACAUGAAUUCAGCAGUGUUUGCAACUCUCACACACCAAAUAUUUGCAACUCAAAACACCAAAAAGACAGACACGCAAUCACAUCUUCUAAGAACAGCAAUAAAUAGUUCAAGCACUCGAAACAAUCACAUCUUGUAACGACAGACGAAGGCCAAUUCAUCUGAAAUAUGGUAAUUAACGUUUGCGAGUUGACAAUUUCGAAUCUUUCGAUGCAGUGAGUUGGGCAACUUAGGAAAGUCAGUCAGUCAGUAAAAUCUUCGGGACCGGUCUUUCACAUCGAGAAUACAAAUCCUAAAUAAGUUACUUUUCUACGGGAUGGAAACUUCUUUAAAGUUAUCUACUUUAUUAUACUUAAAAUGUGUUGUAUGUUCUGAUAAAAAUAUAUGGAAUAUGGGUACAUGUUUUAGAAAAUAAUUAUAAUGGGGUAAGUUGUUCUCAUGUCAAGCCAUCCUCUUCUUCCUCUUCCCUCUGAACACUAAAAUGACAAUGAUUAACCUAUUUACAUGUGCAGUUUCUUGUGAAUACAAAGAUUAUUAUGAAAAAAUAAAAUAUUACGAUACAAGUAAAAAGAAAUCUUUCGACUCAAGAAAACUGAUGUAGUAUUAAAAACAGGAAGAUUGAUAAGAACACUUAUAAGAUACCAAAUGCACUCAGACUCACUCUCUAUCUCUAUGCCGUGCUAACUAUCUAGAUAGAUAACUAUGAAUCAAAUCUCAAACACUCCCCCUUGAUUCAUAGUUGCAUACACCAAUUUGCGACAUAAAAUAAACAUUCUUUCGAACCGGAAGUGAUUUGGUGAGGAUAUCCGCAACUUGUUCAUCCGUUCCAUAAUAUUUCAUUGUUAUGGCUCCACUUGCCUGAAGUACUCUUUCAAUCAUCUAAAGCUCCUACAUAAUCACUAUCAGUGAAACCAAAUAAUUUGCAUUUAAAUUUUGUUUUGAACAUCCAUUUUAACCCAAUCGCUUUCUUUUCUUUUGGUAGAUCCAUUAGCUCCCAAGUUUCAUUCUUCUCAAUUGACUUGAUUUCCUCCUUCAUUGCUUUUCUUCAUUCCUCUUUUUUAAUUGCUUCCUCAAAAGUUAUUGGAUCUGAAAUAAACAAAGCAAAUGUUGAGUUAUAAAUUUCUGUUAGUGAUCUGAAAUUUCUUGGAGGGGUUUCAGAUCACUAACUGCUAUUGGGUGAGGUUGACGAUGAAUUUGUUGGAGCAGGAUCUGUCACUUGAUUCUGCGGAGUGUCUAGUUCUGCUGGAAUUUGCAUUUGUGUUUCACUUUUAUUGGUCUCCCAAUUUCAACUUGCCCUUUCAUUAAACAUAACAUUUCUGUUAAUAAUAACUUUGCCACUAACAGGGUUAUAUAAUCGAUAUGCUUUCGAUUGUAAAGAAUAACCAAUUAAAAUGCAUUUCUCUGAUUUUUCAUCAAGUUUGUGAUGAUUUUGUGAAUUCACCAAAGCAUAAGCAAUACAAUAAAAAAUUCUUAGAUGUCUAACACUUGGUUUCAUACCAUACCAAGCCUCAAAAGGAGUUCGAUUCAUAACAACCUUUGUUAGUAAAAUAUUCAACAAAUAAAUUGUUGUUGCAACUGCUUCUGCCCAAAAUUGAUUUGGAAGAUGUUUUCCUUUAAGCAAACUUCUUACCCUUUCAACGAUAGUCCGAUUCUUACGUUCAGCUACACCAUUUUGCUCCGGUGUAUAUGGUGCUGUCAAUUCUCUGUGAAUACCAUUUUCUUCACAAAAAGAACUAAACUCAUUAGAUAAAAAUUCACCAUCUCUAUCUGUCCGAAGUGUCUUUAUAUAUCUACCACUUUGUCUUUCUACGAGUGCCUUAAACUUUCAAAAAUUAUCAAAUGCUUCAGAUUUCAAUUUCAAAAAAUAUACCCAACUCAUGCGACUAUAAUCAUCCGUAAACAAUAAAAAAUAUUGACUUCCACCAAAUGAUUUUGUAUUCAUAGGUCCACAUAAGUCAGCAUGAAUUAAUUCAAGAUAAUUAGAUGCUCUCCAUGCUUUUCUAAUAGGAAAUAGUUUUUUUACUUUAUUUCCCAUAAAUACAUCCUUCACAUACAUCAAGUGUAUUAAUCUUGGGCAAUCCGAAAACCAUUCCUUUUUGACUUAACAACCUUAAACCUUUAAUGUUAAGGUGUCCAUAUCUUAAAUGCCAUAAACUAGACUCAUUCUUUUGAGUUGUGAUAAGCGCAUGCCUUUCAAUAUUUGACACAUCAAGUAGAAACAUCUUGUUUUAUGUCAUGCAAACAUUUACUAUAAUCAAACCAGAUUUUUUAUCUCUAAUAGUGCAUGAACCAUCAUCAAAUAUUACUGAAUAUCCAUCAUCUACUAAUUGUCCAACACUCAACAAGUUAGUGAUAAAAUAAGAACAAAGAAAAUAUUAUCAAGGUAUUUUACCUUUCCUUGAUUUGUCUUCACCUCAAUUGUUUCUUUUCCUUCCACUUGGAUUUGCUUGCUAUCUCCAAGUCUAACUUCCAACUUGUGAGUUUCAUCAAUAUCUCUAAAUAUUGAUUUUAUGCAUGACAUAUGAUUAGAACAUCCACUAUCCAGAAACCAAAUAUCAUUUGAGAUAUUAUGAACAUGUGAAUGAGUCAUAAACAACUUACUAUUUUCUUCAUUUUUCUCUAUAUAGCUUGCUUGCUUUUCUCUUUUCCAGCAAUCUGCCUUCAUGUGACCAAACUUUUUACAAUAGUGACAUUGAAUUCCACUUUUGUAAUUUUUUUGAUCAUAAUUUGAUUGCCCUUGUUCAUCAAAGUGUCAUCUUCCUCUUCCAUUUCCUCUACCACGAAAUCCUCCUCUGCCACGUCCUGAUUUUUUGUCUUCUUUUGAAGUAGAAGACUCUUUCUUAAUCUGAAAUGCUUUUUUUUUUACUUUUUUCAAGUGAUCUGUUCAACCUUACUUCAUGUGCUUGUAAGGAACCUAUUAGUUCAUCAAAUGAAUAAGUAGAUAAAUCUUUUGAUUCCUCAAUUGCGGCAACAACAUGAUCAAAUUUUGGAGUUAAACUUCUCAAAACUUUUGCAACAAUUAUAUGAUCAGAAAGAUGUUCACCAUAAGAUUUCAUUUGACUAACAAUUUCAGUCACUCGAGAAAGAAAAUCUUGCACCGAUUCAUUGCUUUUCAUGAAUAAAAUUUCAAACUCAUGACAGAGGGUUUGAAGUUUUACCGUAAUCACCCUUGAUGAGCCUUGAAAUUCAUUUUGAAGUAUCAACUAAGCUUGCUUUGAGGUUGUCGCUGCUGCAAUUCUUGAGAAGAUCGUCUCAUGUACAGUUUGUUGAAUGAAGAACAAUGCCUUUGAGUCCUUCUUUCUAUUCUCCCUCAGCCUGAUUUCGUCAUCUGAAUCUACAUAUCCAUUCUCUAUUAAGUCCUAAAGAUCUUGAGACUUGAACAGAGUCUUUAUCUUGAUACUCCAAAAUUCAUAGCUUUUGCCCGAGAAAAUUAGGAUAAGGGGUUGAGACAUGAAAUUACCGUUAAAAGCCAUAAUGCCCUGUUCAGAUUGAAACUAAGCUCUGAUACCAUAAAUAUUGGGGAUGGAGGAGUAAGGAAAAAACAGAAUACUACGAUGCAAGUAAAAAGAAGUCUUUCGACUCAAGAAAACUGAUAUAGUAUUAAAAACAGGAGGAUUGAUAAGAACACUUAUAAGAUACCAAAUACACUCAGACUCACUCACUAUCUUUCUCUAUCUUUAUGCCUUACUAUAAACUACGAUCCUAUUUAUAGGACCUAGUGACAACCACCCUAUAACUACUAGAUCAUGAGGUAGUUAUUGAAACCACCUUAUAACUACUAUAUCAUGAUUGAGGUGGUUAUUUAAAUCAUCCUGUAACCACUAAAUCAUGAUAACUAUCUAGAUAUAUAACUAUGAAUCAACCUGGGACCUCUUCUGAAGCUCAUACCAUACGGAAAAAGUUGUUCCUUGAUCCUGCAGCAGCGAAUCGAUUCUUGUGAUCGAGGUGUUCAACGCCAAACAAGUCGUCGGUCGCGAAGGUACAAAGGAACGCUGGAAGACAACAGGGCAGUGGCGAUAAGAGGUCUACGAUAAUGGACGAGGGCCGAACCAAGGAGUUUGCCAGAGAGAUGCUCAUUCUUUCGCAGAUCAACCACAAGAACCUCAUCAAGAUCCUGGGAUGCUGCCUGGAAGUGGAAGUUCCGAUGCUGGUGUAUGAGUUCAUACCUGACGGCACUCUCUUCCGGUGUAUAUCUACGUGACAAGAACCACAAGAUUUCCAAUAGCGAUGGAAACUCGUCUGAGCAUUGCGGAAGAAACAGCAGCAGCACUGGCCUACUUGCAUUCACCAACUUCUCCACCCAUCAUCCAUGAAGAUGUCAAAGUCCUCCAGCAUCCUCUUGGAUGAGCAGUACUCAGCCAUAGUGUCUGAUUUCGGAACUUCCAAGCUGGCUCGCAACGACGAAGCUCAGCUGGCCACAGUAGUGUAAGGCACCUGUGGGUACUUAGGACCAAUACCUGUGUGUAAGACAGAGAAGAGUGAUGCGUAUAAAAGAAAAUAAUUAAUUUUCUCAAAAGAAAUAUUCAUUAUAUCAAGAAAGAUUUAUUAUAUAAAAAAUUUCUCGAAAGAAAAUGAUUCAUUUUAAAUAUAAUUAAUGUAAUGUAUAUUUGAGUGGGAUCUUCCAAAUCAAUAUGAUGAUGGGCCAACAUGAUCGAUGCAUCAACUGUUGCUCGUUAUGCUAGUGGGAGAAGUACCAUGGAGAUUCUACCUCUGUUGGAUGUGGAAUUGGGACGAUGAUACAAGUAGAAUUGAAACAUUACGAGCGAGUUGUGCCUCAUAAUUAUAUUGAAUAUGGUCACCAUGUAAAGGUGGUCAAAUAUAUGAUACCUAAUGUCAUAUUUCCCUAUAAAUAGAUAAGGAUUUAUUAUGGUAGGGGGAAGAAGGGAGAUUAGAAUAAGAUACUUCUAACAAUGAAAGAGGGGUUUUUUUAAAAAAAUAUUUUUUAAAAACUUGAUAAAAUUCAAUUAUUUUUAUGGCUCACACACAUAGUUAAAGGGAAUAAAUCCUAGUUUUAUAUAGCCCAAUAAAGACUCAACAUAAUGUAUCCUAUUUAAUCUCCAGGUGAAAUCCAAAUUAAAUUCUUCUCAUCUUUUGAGUACCAAAUUCUAACUUGUUUAUUAUCAUACCAUGAACUCAUUAUCAUACCAGAUACUUCUAACAUAAGUUGGAAUACAAGCGGUGGUUCAAGUAGUCCAAUUAUAAAUAUAACAAACACUCUUAACAUUCUUCCUUCUUAAAUUUGUUCCUCUUCUACAUCAAGUUUCAUAUUUGAAUAUUUCAAUUGUUAGGGGUUUUGCAAAAGUAUCCUUGAUUUGUUCUUACAAAAGUCUCUUCAUAUUUUUGUUCUUAACAAUCUUUAUUAUAAAAUAAAAUCUUAUAUCGAUCUAUUUGGAUCUCUCAUGAUGGAUUAGAUUUUUUGCUAAGGUAAUAAUCAAUUUAUUAUCAAUAUAAAUCUUGGUUAACUUCUCUUGUAACACAUAAAAUUCUUAAAAUAAUCUUCUUAGUCAAAUUACAUGACAAACACAAGAAGAUGUUGCUAUAUAUUUUGCUUCACAACUUGAUAGAGCAUCAUUAGCUUUCGGCUUAAUCACUGUCACUGUAUCUAUCAUGCUUCAAACUUUUAGAUUAUGAAUAAAAUAUAAUAUAGUCAAUUGUACCUUUAAUAUAUCGUAAAAUUUUUUGACAUCUAUGUCUCGGGAGCUUCUAUAUAUCUACUUAUUAAAUUAACUUGAAAUAGUAUAUCUUAGUGACAUCUAUGUCAAAUAUCUUAGUGAUUUUAUAAUACUUCUAUAAUAAGUUGGAUUGAUUGGUUGGCUAGUUUGGUAUCACAUUCAAUGGGUGUAUCAAUUGGUUGGCAAUCCUCCAUACAUAAUUUCUUCAAUAUAUCUUUUGUAUAACUUGCUUAUGAAAUAAAUAUCCCUUUAUUGCUUUAUUUGAACUUAAUGCCUAAGAAGUCUGUCAUCCCAAACUUUUUCUUCAUGAAAUGCUUAAAUUCUUUGAUCAUAGAGGAAUUAUUGCUUUGUAAAUACUAGAUAAUUUAUAUAUAGGCCUAUAAACAAGAAAUCUCUAUGAUCAUUCAUUUUUAUGUAUAGAGCAUAUUCAUAAAGGUAUUUGGAAAAAUUAAUUUAGGUAAAGUAUAUAUCGAUUUAAGAAUUUCAAGAUCUUUAUGGUUAUUAAGCUCGUAAAGAACUUUUUUCAAUUUGUAUAUCAUGUCUUUUUCUCUAUGGAUAAUGAAAAUGAAGAAUUGUUGCACAUAAAUCUCUUCUUAAAUAUAUCCAUUUGAGAAAUGGUAACUUGAUAUCUAUAUGAAAGAUUUCUCAUUUUAUUUCAGCAGCUAAGGAGAUGAGCAAACUCACUAUCUCCAACUGAAUUACCAGCAUACAUAUUUAUCAUAUUAUUGUUUUUAUCCUUUUGCCAUCGAUCAAACUUUAUGUUUCUCUCUACCUCUCUUUUUGUAUUUAUCUUUAUUUUGAAUAUUCAUUUAACUCCAAUCAACUUGUUCCCUUUGAUAAGUACAGUAAGUUGUUUUUGACUCCAAUCAACAUGCAUCUCUUCAUUCAUAUCAUUUCUUCAUCAGAUUAAUGGAUCAUAAUUUAUAAAAAGAUUAAAAAAAAACUCAUCGUCAUUAGUAUCAAAUUUUUGGGUCACAUUAUAUAUCUCUUGGAUCAUCUUUGUUAUAUUUAUAAUUGGACUACUUGAACCACCGCUUGUAUUCCAACUUAUUUUGGUGAUAAUUCAUGAGAAACACCUUCUCCAUUAACUUCUAUUGUUUCAUUUUCUUCUAGAAUAAUACUUUGUUUUGGUGGAUCUUUGUUGUUCCAACUCCAUAUUUAUCUUUUAUCAAAUUUAACAUCUCUUAGCAUCACAAAUUUCUUACUGAUAGUAUUAUAUACUUUAUAGCCUUUAAAAUUUUUAUCAUAAAAUAAAAUAUAGCUCUAACAUUUAUCCUACUUUCUUCUAGUAUUUUGGUAUAAACAAUACAUUCAAAGAUUCUUAGGUGGUCAACUCUCGGCUUCUACAAGUUCCAUGCCUCUUCAAGUAUAACAUUACCAAUUCUAUUUGUAGAAAACUUGUUUAGUGGAUAAACUAUAUAAACAAUAGCAUCUCUACCCUAUUAUAUUGAGGUGUAUAAUGCAUGGUGCAUUGAUGUAUAAUUUCAUUAUCGUUAAAAUAACUUUCAAAUUUAUUUGAUAUGUAUUCACCUCCUUUAUAUAUUCUUAAACGUUAGCUUAUAGCCACUUUAUGCCAACCAAGUUUCUAAACUCUUUAAAAUUAUUAAGCACUUCUUUCUUCUCCUUUAAUAAAAAAUAAACCUAUGUUUUGCCACUAUAAUCAUAUGUAAAAGUAAGAAAAUACCUAUUUCCAACACUUGACGGAGGAGUGAUAGGACCAUAUACAUUCAAGUAUACCAAGGAAAGUUUGUAUCAUUUUGAAUGAUCUCCAUUGUUGCUUGCGCCUGAUGCAUGCUUCACAAAGCUUGGUUGGAUGCUCAAUCUUUGAUAAGCCUAUCGCCAUAUUAUUCUUCUCCAAAAGCUUCAAAAUUUAUGUAUCCAUAUCUAAUAUGUCAUAGUGUAGAAUCAUCCAUAACACUAAUAUUUAAAUAAUUUAUUUUAUUAGUAUCCAAUUGUCUAAGAAACAUCUUGUUUUUAGUCAUUUUUACAUGAGAGAUUAAAGUCUUAUUCUUGUCAUAUGUAGAGAGAGAUAAAAUUUUAUUUUAAUAUCAUAUCUUUUUUUAAAAUACUAUUCUUCAUAUCAGGAAUAUAGUAAAUAUUUGAAAUGCAUACUUGCCUCUUACUAGUUUUUGUGAUAAAUCAUAAAAUGUAACGUUGCUGAAAUAAUUCAUAUCAAUUUCAGUAAAAAAUUCCUUGUAGUAGUAGUCGCUCAUGUGAAUGGAAGUAUUAUAUCUAGAUACCAUGUUAUAUUAUAAAUUGGAUAUCUUUCAAAUCAACAUUAGCCAUUAGUAGGAUGAAAUUAUUAUUCGUUUAUUUUAUAUUUAUAAAAUUUAUAUUCUAACUUAACAUUAGCCAUUAGGUUUAUAAUAGCAAGCCACAGCAUAUCAUAGGGGCUGAACUUCUUACAAACAUAACAUUGUAUUUAAGAUUUGUUAUACCUCCUAUUUUUACCUCGAUCUCAACCUUGACCUUUUUGGUUUCAGUUCUCUUUCAUUUUAGUUGUUUUAUGCUUCUUGAGUAGGUUGACCUCUUCAUCUUCCUCUUUGCUAUGAAACCUUGAUUCUCCUUUGUUCUCCUUCUUUUUCUUUUUCUUUUAAGCAUAAUGGCAAAUUUAAUACCUCGGAAAAACAAACGAGAAGAAGAGAUAAAAUUUUCUUUUAGUAAACACAAAUUUAAUGCUUUUAUAAAUCAUAUCUUGUUCCAACAAAACGAAGAAAAAGUCAGCAUUUGCUUUUAUUUUCUUUUUUUAUCGGCAUGGAACAGAGAUAGCGUUCAAAUUUCUCUGGAGUCCCAUAACAACUUGCUCUUUUGUUUCUUAUAUUAUGUGCUGUUAUUGGUAAUGAGUGACUCUGAACAAUUCAAAAGAAUUGAGUCGACCAAGGAUUAAAUAUUAUCUGGCCAACCGCGAGAGCCCAUUACUUGGAACAUGCUCUGCAUGACACAGAUUUAUCAUGAUAUUUGUACUUUAUGGUUCUUCAUCCCAUGAUAAUUCAUUGAUCGACUGUUGUUGAUAAUGUGAUCCAAUUAUUUGGACAAUUUACAGUUUUUGCAUCAGGUAUAGAAAUCAGUUGGAUCACAUUAUCUUUUUCUUUUUUUUCUCUAAAGGUAAAUGAUAAAGACGAAAUCCAAGCCGACGAUCUUACGAUGAUCUAUCAGUCUUUAUCAGCUAAGUUAAUUGGCAUCUUCACAACCCAGUUUUAAGUUUAAUCUCCCAAGUGCUUGACAAUGGAAGCCGGAUAAUGAUCUGUAUCAACUACGUAUGCUUAUGACAACCUCCGGAUUGUGCUUUGAUGCUGUCGAUAAGGUAACUUUGACAUGCUUCAACAAUUCACUUAGUCAUAUGUGGAAAACUAUUGGAUAUAGAUCUUAGAUCAAUAGUUGCCAAGAAGAAAGCUAUGCUCGACAAAAGUUUUCGCUGAAUUAGAAGACAGUAUGUCCAUGUAAAACACACAAAUUUUAUUUAUUUCUGGAUAAUAUCCUUGAAACUCUGUUAUCGUUGGAAUUAUCAUCAAUAAUUUAUACCAUAACUUGUUGAAGAAUAGUAGUUUAUUACAGUACCAAAGAUUUUUUAGAUUCUCCGUACGUAUGAUUAGCAUUAGAUAUAUGUCUAAGCUUGAUGACACAAUAAUAUGAUCGUGAUCAUUAAGAAGAACGAGCAUCAGUGCUUUGCAGCAAAGACCAACUUUUCUUAUUUGAUGGAAGUAUGAAUUUGUUCUUCCAAGAAAUUGCCACCUUUUUCUACUGAAGCAGUGCUAUGUCCCAAUGCUUGCAUUCGAGUACAGUUCAGUUUGAGGCCAUUCAUUGUCUCUCGCGGUCUGGAGCUGAGUUCAGCUACUGAAGCUGAGGGUACACGACGAGACAAUAUUCAUAUCAUACACAACCAUGCAAACACAAAAUGACUGGAAAUAUUGGAAUUGAGAGAGCUAUGAAAACACGAAAAAAGAUUCAUAUUCUUCUGAUAAUGUUGCAGUGACAGAUUUUCUUUCUUCCAAGUAACAUCGUGAUGGUUUUUAGGCGCACCCAUCGAUCACUUUCCAUUCAUAAGAAGCACAUUUACAAUGUCAUGUUUAAGGAGAAAUCAGCUUUUCUUUUAUUCCUUGAAUCAAAAUCCGGUGGCCACUUGCUACUAUUAUACUUGGUCAUGUCAUCACUGUUGUUUGAGCUAUAGUAGCUGGCAUACUCCUCUUUCACUGCAGCUGCUGGAGUAGCUUAUGAGGAUGUCGGAUUCAUCAAUGCCUCCAACUAAAAGCUCUCAUCAAUUCCUUGGAUCUCUUGGUCGUCUUUGACACCCAAGUUGUUAGUAACAUCUCCUGCCAUUACACAUGAAUCAAUACUAAAUCACCAGAAAUCUUUCUCGCUAUGAGAUCGUUUCACUGAUGCUGUCAUCAACCUUCAGCUAUGGGUUUCGUUUGCUGGAUUAGCCGAGUCUGUAUCCAGUUGCAGGGUCACUAGUGAAGAAUUGUACUAUGACUAUACCUUCAUUUAUUUUGUCUCAUGUAUUUAUACAUAUAGAGGUAGGAUUGAUUCCCAAUUUUGCACAUGAAUCAAGGUAAUUGAUCCUUCAAUCAUAGAUUGAUUGGAGACCGAAAUGUAUUAAGAAUACAAUUGUUCAUCAAUCAUUUGUAUCCUUAUUUGCUCAUAUCAGGAAUACUUAAUUUGUUCCAAUAAGUAGUCUUUUAUCAUGCUCUCAUAAGAUUAAGUUUAUGUUAUAGUUAUCAAUCUUGGAGCGAUGUGAGCAGAACAACUUGCGAGCAAGUGGCCUUACGAGAGAGUAUGCUAAUUAAUCAAAUGUGUGGAUAUGAGAUACACAUAGUUGAUAUCUAGCAACUUGAUCUAUGAUAAAGUGAAAGUUAAUAGUAAUGCGCUUCGUAAGAGAGUGAAAUACUAGAUUUGAGUAUACGCAGGUAGUACUGAUAUUUUCAUAGUAAAUUGUUAGAGGAGAAGGAGGGGUGACAUCAAGUUCAUGAAGCAAGUUAGUAAUCUAGUUGAGUUCUACGACGAUGGCAAUAAUGACACAAUACUCGGCUUCUAUGGUAGAGCGUGCAACUUUUUUUUUUCUUGGAGCUCCAAUUGAUGUGGUUACUAACAAGGAAUACAAUAUAUGUCAAUGUGGAUGUUCGAUCAUUAGUAUUACUAGUCCAAUCAAUAUCAUUAAAGGCAUGAAGAUGAGAGGACGAUCAUUUUUAAAGGAAGUGAUUAUAAUUGAGAGUCCUUUUAAGAUAUCAUACGAUACAUUUAUUGUAGACUAAUGAAUAGCGAAUGGUCGAUGCAUAAGUUGUGAUAAUUUGUUGACAACAAAUGAAAUAUCUUAAUAAGUGAAAGAUAAAUAUUGGAGGGAGCCAAGUGUUUAUCGAUACUAUGUGAAAUCUAUAGCAGGACUACCAUCAUGUAAUUUGAGUGGCAACUUCUUUGGCGUUUUACAUAUUUGUCUUUGAUAAGAGAUCUUGAAUAUACUUCUUUUGAGAGAGGAAAAGAUCUCUACAUCCUACACCUAGAAAAUAGUUUAGUGGCCCUAUAUCUUUGAUAGAGAAUUAAUCUGUCAGUUGCUUAAGAAAUUAUUUGAUCCAUAGAGAGUUGUUGCCUAUGAUGAUGAUGUCAUUAACAUAGAAUCAAUCUAUAAGUUGCUUAAGUGCAUUCCUUUUAUUGUCAUAGAAACAAGAAGUUAUCAAAUUUAGAAUUGAUAAAGCCGGUUGACAUUAGAUAUGAGCCAAGCUCAUUGUACCAUGCUCUUAGAGCAUGAUGAACUCCAUAUAUAGCUUUUUAAAGUUUACAAACAUGAUUAAGAUAUUGAGAAUGAACAAAACUAGAAUGUUGUUGUAUAAAGACAUCAUCAUUGAGAGUCCAAUGUAAUAAUACAUCAUUCACAUAUAAUUAUCGUAAGAGCCAGUCUGAAGUGAUAGCAAAACUAAGGAUAACUCAUGUUAUUAUAGGUUUAACAACAUCAUUGAAUGUUUAUGCUAUGAGGCAUGCUUUGUAUCUAUAAUGGAACCAUUUGAGUUUUACUUAAUUCAAAAAAUCUACUUACACCCGAUGAUAUUUUAUAUGGGAUUGGAUGGUACUUAGGUUUAUGUGAUAUUACAGAGUAAGACAUCAUAUUCUUCACACAUGACUUUGCGCUAAUGAGAUGAUUUUUGAGCUUAGGUGAUUUUUAUAGGUUCUAUAGGUUCGAUUGGAGAGCUUAUAGUGGUGUGAAUAUUAAAUAUCUGAUCUGGUUGAAAAUGUUAUUCCUUAAGCAUGUUGUCAUAUGAUGUUCAGGCCCAAUAAGACGACUAGGUUAUAUUGAUGGUAGGAGAGUUAGUAAUCAGUUAUCAAGAUGUAUAGUGACAUCACUUGAUCGAGGAGGAGACAGAGACAUCACUUGACCGAGGAGGAGAGGGAUACAUCUCGAGUGGUAUCAAGGACAAUAAUAAUUGGUGGUAUAAAGUAAUUUGGGAUAUUGCUAUCUGCCUUUGUUGUCCGCUUGAUGCAACAACUAGAUCAAAUGAUUUGGUUGAUAUAGAAUAGAUUUGAUUAGAGGGAUGCAACCAAUAUGGAGCAAUUUGGAGUAGAUCGAUUAUAGUGAGAGAUCACAAGGGAAAAUCAUGUGGGGAAAAAUCAUGCAAGGAGGGAUAUAGCCUUCGUCUUCGGUCAUACAAGUGUCGGAGCAAAGCAGAACAAGAUGAUAUUGUCGUGGCAGUGGGGAGAAAGCACCGAUGGGAGGAGGCACUAUAAUGAUGAUCGUAGACAAGUGAGGAGGAAUCACUAAUGGAUAGAAGGUGCCAGUGAGUAAGAGAAAUCACUGAUGCUAGGCAGAUUAGUGAGAACAAGGGAGUGGGAGUCACUAUUGCUUGGGCAAAUCAGCGAGGAAGGAGUCAUCGAGGCAGAUCAAUGAGGAAGGAGUCAUUGUCGCUUGGGUAGAUGAGCAAUGAAGCUUUGAUGAGGAAAUGUUAGAAAAGAGAUAGAAAAGAAAUUACUGAAGAAGCUUGAUUGUAUUCACAUGUCCCUCUCCUAUUUAUACAAGUUAGGAGGGAGGAUUUCCCUCAACAUAGUAGAGAGAUAUCUUCGCAUAUUUGAGAAAAUCUUAUCUGCUAUCAUGCCCCCGAUGGUGCUCCUAUCAAGGAUGCUAAUCUUGGACCGAUGUAAUGCAAAAAGGUGGCGAGUGUGAGGCUUCGUGAGUGAGUCGGCUAACUGAUUAGCCGAAUGGACAUGAGAAACUCAUAGUUGACGGCAGACAACUUGAUCUCGUACAAAAUGGAAGUCGAUAGCAAUAUGUUUCAUGCAGGAGUGGAACAUCGGAUUAGCGCACGGAUAGGUAGCUCCGACAUUGUCACAAUAUAUUGUAGGAGUAGAGUUGAGAUGUUGAAUUCUUUGAGCAGAUUUGUGACCCAAUUGAGUUCUGCAGUGGCAAUAGUGAUGACACGGUAUUCAACUUCAGUUGUAGACCGUGCGAUUGUCUUUUGCUUCUUAGAACUCUAACUGAUUGGAUUAGCGUCAAGGAAGACAAUAUACCUCGAUGUGGAUGUUUGAUCAUCAAAGUUGCCUGCCCAAUCAGCAUCGGUAAAGGCAUGAAGCUGAGCCAAGUUCAGUUUACCAAGCUCUUGGAGCUUGACGAAGUCCAUAAAUAGCUUUUCGAAGUUUUCAAACAUACCUUGGAUACUGAGGAUGAGUGAAACCAGGAGGUUAUUGCAUAAAAACAUCUUCAGUUAGAGACCCUUGUAAAAAGGUAUUAUUAAUAUCCAAUUAGUGUAAUUGCCGGCCCUUAGUGGUGCGAGACUUAAGAUAAGUUUGAUUGUAGUGGGCUUAACAACGGGACUAAAUGUCUUAGUGAAAUCAAUUCCAGGCCUUUGAUGAAACCCUUUAACGAUGAGGCAUGCCUUAUAUCGGGCAAUAGAGCCAUCGGGGUUCCGCUUAACUCGAAAAACCCACUUACACCCGAUGAUGUUUUAUGUCUGAUGAAAGGGUACUAGAUCCCAUAUUAAGUUAUGGAGGAGGGCAUUAUAUUCCUCACAUAUGGUGGUACGCCAAUGCGAAGAUUUGUGGGCUUGAGUGAAGGUGGUGGGUUCAACGGUGGUAGAUGAGGAAUCCACGAUAGCAUGAAGAUCAAGGACCUGACAUGGUUUGAAAAUACCACUUUUAGAGCGUGUGGUCAUAGGAUGGUUGGAGACUACAGGACCGUGAGGUUGUGUUGUUGGAAGAAGUGGUUGAGAGUCAUUGACACAGGCUGGGUCAAGUGGAGGUAUGUUAGGGUCACUUGGCCGAGAAGGAGGUAAAAAUAACGAUUGUGAUCCUGAACUAAGUACCCCAAUAAUCGGAGAAGAGAGAAGUGGAGUAGGAAUGAGCAAUUGUUGAAUCGGAUGAGUGGAAUAGUGUGGAUCAUGAGUAGAGGAACUGGAUGAUGUCAUAAGAGGCUCGUCCGGUUAGAUCAGAGGUAUACCCCAAUGAAAAAUGGUUAAUGAGAUGGUCUGCAUGGUAGGAGAGGUAUGGUUGUGAAAAGGAAAGACAGACUUAACAAAAAUAACAUGACGCGAUAUAUAAUAGCGGAAAGCAUUAUAUUCAAGAUAGUAACCUAUAAAAACACAAGGAUUAGAUCAUGAUGUUAACUUGUGAGAGGUAUAGGGACGCAACCAUGGAUAACAUAGAUAACCAAAUACUCUGAGUUCACGAAGGUUUGAGGGUUUAUGAAAUAGUGAGUCAAAGGGGGAUUGGUAUUAUAGGACUGGCAUAGAUAUUCUAUUAAUAAGGUAGACGACAGUUUAAAAGGCUGCCAUCUAAAAGUUUGAAGGCAUGGAAGCCUAAUAGAGAAGUGUGAGCCCAAUUUCUACUAUAUGCCGAUGUUUACAUUCGGCGGAGCCAACAAGUUAGGGAGUACGCGGGGGAGACUUGAGGUGUUGGAUACCACAAGCUGAGAGAUAGGAUGCCAGGGCUUGAUAUUCAUCGCCACCACCAGAGUAAACUAUUUUGAUGGUAUACUGAAAGUGGUUUUCGACCAACUUUCAAAAAGUGAGAAAGACGGUCGAAACGUUAAAUUUAUGAUGAAGAGGAUAUAAUCAUAUGUACUUAGUGAAGUGAUCUACAAAAAUGAUAUAAAAUCUGAAUUUAUCAAAAGAUAGGAUUGGGGCAGGGCCCCAAACAUCUAUAUAAAUAAUUUUAAAUGGUUUAGAGGUGGAAAUGGAAGAUAGGCCAACUAACUGUCAAUGACUUUUAUUACUAAGACAUGUAUCACAAUGCAUUAUAGAACUAUGCGAUUUAGAAAUAGGAAAAGAGAAACUAGAAAGUAAUUUAUGCUGAAUAAGGGAUGACCAAGAUGAUGAUGCCACAUAUCAACUAGAGCCGCAAUGGAAGAAUGAAUAGUGGGUUGGGUUAUUUGUGGAGCUGACGGAUUCAUAAAUGUUUCCUCUAUUCGGGCCUUGGAUCAAGGAUGCCCCCGUGCUCAAGUCCUUAAUAAGAAAGGAAUCAGGAAAGAAUUUAAUUGAAGUAUUGUUAUUUUUGUAAAAAUGAGAAACAGAAAUGAGAUUGCGUUUAAUAUUAGGGGCACAUAAAACAUCAUCAAGUAUAAAUAUAGUAGUAUCAGAAGUAAGCGUUGUGGAACCAGUAUGAGUUAUAGGAAGGCCGUUACCAUCACCGGUGAUGAUAUAUUCAUCGCUACCAUAGGGAUUGUGGAGAGACAAAUUCUGAAGAUCAGAGGUGAUGUGAUGAAAGGCGCAUAGUCCACAAUCCAGUUGGGCUAGCUAGUCAUCGGAGUAGUGAGGAGAUUUGCCUGAGGCUAGUGUGACAGAAUAAGAAGGUGGGGUCAAGACCGACAAACUUUAGCGGAGUGUCCGAUUUUAUCACAUAGUUGGUAGAUGAUCCAUCGUUGGUGGCUUGAAGGGGCAGGAUGCCAAGGUGGAUGAGUAUUGGAGUUGCCACUUUGCGAGAAGUUAGGAGGAUAACGAGGGUCUUGCAUAGGACCCAUAUUAUCAAGAAUACCUUUAGUGAUGUUCGGAGGGUAUCAAGUGUUCUUCCUCUUAGACUUAUAAGCGGGUAGUUUAUUCGCAUGCUUCAAAUAUAUCUCAUAGUCAGUCAACUUGUCAUAAAAUUCUUCAAAAAGAGACUAGCGAGUCCCGUGCUCGAAUUGCAGCUGUCAACUCCUUGUAGUCAUCUCCAAGACCAUUUAGGGUAUAGAUGACGAUCUCCUCGUCACAUAGGGAAUAACUUUGAUAUUUUGUAGAUAUCUCCUUGUAGUCAUCUCCAAGACUAUCAAAGGUCACCGAUAAUAACUUUGAUAUUUUGUAGAUAAUCAGUGAUAAUACUUGCAGUUUAGACCACACAUCGGUAGUAGUCACACAUGCGAAAAUCAAUGGAGUGACGGAUCUAGCAACUGAGGUUUGAAUAGCUUAUAGGAUGAGACGAUCUUGACGCAACCACAGUUUGUGAGCUGGAUUAGGUACUGGACUAGGUUCUCCGGGGAUAUUGAGUAUGGCUAGCGGACAACUGAAGGAGCCUUCAAUGAAACCUAGCAAGUCGUAUCCAAAUAAGAGAUUAAAAAAUUGAGCCUGUCAGGACGCAUAGUUGUCACCUUUUGAUAACUUAAAAAGGAUUAGUGCAGCUGCAUUGAUGGAGAUAAGCCCUGUAGAAGAAGAACUGUGAAUCCCUGCAGAAAUAGGAACUGGAAUAUCAGAAGAAGAUAACGAAGACAUCCCAGCCUGCUUUUUUUUUUUCAAUAAUGCUUCACGGUAGAUGAAGUGGGGAAGAAAAUGUGUGAGAAGAGUAGCUGCUGCUGCAGCUGCAGAUUGCUGCGGCUGCGGCUGCGGAUGCUUACUGCGGCUGUGACUGCUGCAGCUGCUGAAGACCACUGCAGCAGCAAAGAUUGUUGCUGCAGCGAAGAUUGUUGUGGCAGCAAAGACUGCUGCGGCAGCGAAGACUGCUGCUGAAGACUGCAGCUGCUGCAGAUCGUUGCUGCAGCUGUAGCUGCUACAGAUUGCUGCGGCUGCUGCUGCAGAAGCUACUGAAAACUGCUGCUGCAGCGAUGAGGAAGCUGCAGUGAUGCUACAGCGAUGUUAAAGAAAUCUGCAGCGAUGCUGCAGCAGGGGAAAUUUGUGAGAAAUCUGCUAAAGCUCGUCGGUCUCAAUGCAGGAAGCGGCAGCAGCAGCAGAUGCGAAAGCUGCUGCGACAGAGGAAGCAAGAUGCAGUGCAGAUGGAAGCGGCUGCUGCUGCAAGAACUGCAAUCGUUCCUGCUGCCGUAGGAAAGCAGUGAUGGCUGUGCGGCAAGGAUGGCGGCAGUGGCACUUCUCCCUCGAGCGAGAUGCGGGAACAAGGAGGAGAGAUCAUUGGUCGGGGAGCAAUUGCGAGGACGGCGGCCACCACGGUAGCAUAGGCGAGGUUCUUACGAGGGCGGGAGGUGGCCGAGUGAUCGGCAAGUUCGGACUAGCUGCGGUGCUCCGAGAGGGUGACGGAGUCGGAGAGGCGGGAGAAGAAGCCCGCAGGCGCCGGAGGAGAGGUAGGGGAGGGGUAGGGAGAUGGAGGAAACCUUGCUUAAGCAAGGGUACUCUGAUACAAUGAAGAAUUGUACUAUAACUAUACUUUCAUUCGUUGUGGUAUAUGUAUUUAUACAUAUGAAGGGAGGAUUGAUUCCCCACAAAUUAUGCACAUAAAUUAAGGUAAUUAAUUCUUGAAUCUUUGAUUGAUUGGCAAUCAAAAUAUAUUAGAAAUAUAAUUAUUUGUCAAUCGUCUGUAUCCUUAUUUGUUCAUAUCAGAGAUCCGCUCCAAUCAGCUAUCCUCUAUCAACUUAUUUGGACUUGGCAUCAUGUUUCUUCUUCUUCUUCUUUGAUACUUUGCUUCUUCAAGAGAGCGUGCCACACAUUCUUGAUCUCAUUAUGUAUUCAGCCUAGCAGACUAGCAGCAAUUGCAGCAUGAAGAAAAAUAGCUAAAUAAGAAAGAGAAUCCAAUUUUAACCAACAUUUGGAAACCUAACACCAUCGGAUUAUAAGCUUAUCUUCUUAAAAUAUGUUCAGGAAGAUCUGUGUUCGUUUAACCGGAUAUACUGAUGCUCAUAUAUUCUUUUGGAGUAUUGAAGGACCAUUUAGUAUGUUAGAAUUGGUAAGUAUUUUAAGAGUCCUAAGUGUAUUCAAACUAGUUGGGUUAAUCUUAAUUAAAUUAAGUCUCUUAGUGAAUUAGAGUUUGUUUUUAUAAAUAUAUCUUGAGUUUCAAGGUUUUAGUGAGAAAGAGAGAUCUUUAAAGUUUCUAGGGUUGAGAGAAAAAUUCUUCAGGUUCCUAUGAUAAGUGUACAAGGAAAAUCGUACUUGAGUGAAGAUAACUCAAGAGUUUUGUAAUUAGUUUUAUAUUGAAGAAUUUGGUUUUCUUCAUGUAUAUAAACAGGAGUUGCUGAACCAAUAAAAAUAAUAUAUUGACUUUAUGAUAUGCUUUUGAUUGUUUAUCUCUGUGAUUUCUUUAGACUUUUAUUUUUAUCCUUUCUUUCCCUCCCUAAUAUAAUAGUUGUCGAAGGAACCUUUGGACUGUUUCUUGCUUGUGUUUUUGUAUUGUCCAAUGUGAAAGAUAAUUUAGAUCCAACUUCAUAGGUAGAUAGAGAGUGAAAGUGCCAAAUCCAUGUGCUAAGCCCUUGCAAAACUACAUUAGAUGCCUAUUCAACAAGAUCCUUUCGAUACUUAAGUAUUCACUUUAAUACUAAAACUUAUGAGAGUCUAAUCAGUUAGCUAAUAACAAUGUAGUUGGGAGCUUUUAUAGUAUAAUGAAUAGUCAUGAAAAUUGAAGGUGUGACUAUUGAGACAGCUACAUAAGUUAUUCGGUGUCCAUAUCAUUAAUGGUACACCAAAUCAGAUCUAUGAGCCAUUACUAACACCGUGUCAAUCUAAAUAUCCUCUCCUUCUGCAAUGUUGAGGUGUCCAAAGCCCGUCAAGUGUUUUAACAAGAUUUGAUCCACCUUGCGGUUUAAGAUUAACUUUCUUCUAAAUCUGUUCUAUGCUAACUUUCUUCUAAAGCCCGUCAAGUGUUUUAACUUUCUUCUAAAUCGGUUUAAGGUCUUGAUAUGCUAACUUUGUCGAGCGACUCAAAAUACUUAACCUCAAUCUAAUAAUAACAUACAAAUCAAUCUCUUAUAAGUUUAAUCUACUUUUGAUGUGGGAUAAGAUCAUGAUAUUACAAUACCCUUGGGAGAAAUUUUUAUUUUUAUUUUGCAUAAAACAUCUAAUCAAGAUUCUAAAUCAAACAUCUAAUCAAGAUUCUAAAGCAAUAUCCAAUAAGGAGAUCCAACAACUUAUUAAUAUCGAGAUUCUACAUUAGGAUUUAGCCAAGUUUAUUUGGAUUAUACGUAAAAAGUACAUGGGUUGAAAUUCAUAUGUAACUAUAGCACUAGCGUCGACCAUCGAACCAUCCGAGAUUUGGAUUCCACGUUAGGAUUUAAACAAGCAUGUUUAAAUUGUUAAAUCUUAGAUUUUGAUGAUGAAAUCAAUUAAUGUGUUUGUGAUCUGAUCUACGUUUUGAGCGACAUAGGAAGUUUCAAUCAGGAAGAGACAAUUAAAGUAGGAAGAAUCAUGUUGGGCUGGAGUGAAACAUGUCAGAAGAUUGGAUAUCGAGCCGGAGGAUCUAUCGAUGUAUUGACAAAAGACUUUGAACCAUGGGUUCGGGCAUCGGGCUAAGAAGAGUGAAAAUUAUGUCAAAGAAAUCGAAAUUAUGGAGGUUUAACUGGCCGAUUGAGCACUAGGCCGCAAGAGAGGACAAUGCGCCGAAGAAUCAAACGAGGCAUCGAUAAACCAAUGUGAUACCAGAGAGGGUAAAAUGCAGAAUGGAUUUCAAAAGAAAUUCGAUACAAUAGUUUCUUAGAUAGAAAAUGUCAUAGUAGACAAAGACGAACUCUCGAAGAAAAGUCGCAGUACAGUUGUAUUUGCUGGAACGAGUAUUUUGAAUAGAAAAGGCAUGAACUCACGAUAAAACUUAAAGAAGAUCGAAAAAUAGUUCACCACCAAGUUAAAAUUACAAAAAGAUAUAGAAAUUCACCACCCCAAGGAUUAUAAACAAGGAUACAUAAUAGAAAUCAAAUGACUCAUAACUCAAGGAUGUAUUUAAGAGAUACAAAGUUUAAUGGAGUUCUCCAAGAGAGCUUCUGCCAAGAUAUUAUCAAUUUCUAAAAUUCUUUCUAAGUCCUAAACAUCAAAAUAAAUACUAGUUCAUGAAACAACUUUUGAUGCAUAGGGAAUUUUGAAAUUAAGUAUUUACAGCUGCUAACCAACUCCUUUAAUGUAUUCCUUGGUCAUGAAGAAAUGUUUACAACUACUAACCAACUUCUUUAAUGUAUUCCUUUGUCAUGAAGAAAAGCACCUUGAAACAACUUUAACUUUGUGCAGGGAAUAUGCUAAUGAGUUGUCAUAUUUGAGUGGGCUGAGUUGAAGAUUAUGAUGCAUCAUUGUUGGCUGAAAAAAAUAUUAUAUCAUAAUCAAAGUUCAUAUGAUUAGAUUGUAGUAAAUUAAACACUCCUCUAUCAUAAUGAUAUGCCGGACAACAUUUGAUUUAGCUUUGUAAUAAUUGUCUAGAUCGAAGUAGGUUUUAGGUGUAAUUGGGUUAGAAUUGGACCAACUCAAUUAUGGGCCAAUUGGGCCCAACUUUGGGCUGUGUUGGGCUAAAUGAAAGGUCCAAACAGUGAUCCAAUAGGUGGAACCAUCAAUGACACAGUCUCUAAGAUUGUGUCAAAUAGUGGUACCACCAAUCUGGGUGGUGGUACUGCCCAAACACAGUCUCCGAGAUUAUGUCAGGCGAUGGUACCACCAGACUGGGCGGUGGUAACACCCAAUGUUAGUGCAGCAGGUAGUGGUACCGCCCAGCAUAGGCGAUGGUAUCGUCAAUACCAUAAAAAUUUAGGGAUAAGACACUUUUUGGCUCCCAGUUUAAAUCCACUUGGGGCCUAUAAAUACCCCUCUCAUCCCUUCUCUGAUAAAAACUGUUAGGAUCAAGAACGACACUAAGAGGGGAGGGGGGAUGGGGGGGGGGUGGGUGGAGGGUGGGAGGGUGAGUGGGGGGAGUGGGGGGAGGGUGAGGGGGGAGGGUGUAUGAAUUAGUGCAGCGAUAAAAACCACGUCGAGUCAAAAAUCUCAUUCGAUAAAAUCAUUUCGACAAAGCCCGUAUAGGGAAUAUAUUUAACUUGAAAGCAUACGAAAGUUUAGUAAAAGUAAAGUAAGUAAGGAAAUUUACAGUAAAGGUAAAUUAUAUAAUAAAAAUAUAAACAAGAUUUUUAUAGUAGUUCCGUCAUCGUGACCUACAUCCACUCUCGAUUCCUCUUCCGUCGAGGCCACCGGCAUCUACUAACGGUCUUCCUUCAAUGGGUGAAGACCAACUACCCUUAAUGUCAUUCUUGAUCCUUCAUAAUAUGAUGUUAUCAUGAUUUUAUCCUUCAUAAUAUGAUUAGUGCAGUUCGAAACGAUCUCUUGGUUGCUGGCAAAUACCAUCCCUCUUUGGGUUUCAAACCAAAAUGAGACUGACCUCGCUCUGAUACCAACUGUUAGGAUCGAGUCGGCACUAACAUGGGUGGGGGUGGGGGUAGAGUAGGGUGAAUUAGUGCAGCGGAUAAAAAUAUCGAUUUAAAAAAAUCUUCGUUUCGAUAAAACCGAUAUCGAAAAUGUAUUUAACUUGAAUGUGCUCGUAAGAGUGUAAUAAGAAAGUAAAGCAAAUAAGACAUUUUGCAGUAAAGGUAAAUUGCAUAAAUAUAAAUGCAAACUAAGUUUUAUAGUGGUUCGAUCAUCGUGACCUACAUCCACUCUCGAUUCCUCUUCCGUUGAGGCUACCAAUAUCCGCUAAUGUUCUUCCUUUACUAGGCGAAGACCAACUACCCUUAUAACUCGAUUCUCCUUUUGAUAAGUUCAGGAGAGAAGCUUUACACCCCCACUACCUCCUCUCUUAAACUUCACCAACACUUAGAGCUUGAGAGGAGUUCUCAAAAGAUUACAAUAUCGUUUUUCUUCAUUUUUUGCUCUCAAUUCUGGUGCUAUCUGAGCAGGGAUGAGAGGGGUAUUUAUAUGCCCUAAGUGGAUUCAAACUUUGAGCCAAAAUGUAUCUCAUCCCCGGUUUUUGGGUACUGGCGAUACCAUCGCCUGUGUUGGGCGGUACCACUGCUUGUAGCACUGACAUUAUGUGGUAUCACCGCCUAGUCUAGUGGUACCACUGUCUAACACCUUGCCACUAGGCGGUACCACCACUUGAUAGUAAUAACUGCCGACGGUACCACUGCUCAGACCACUUGGGAGGCUGAGCCUCAAGCGGUUCCACCACCCACUAGCAUCGCUUGAUAAGGUUCAAUAAUUUGUUUGAGCCUUGAAUCCGGCCCAAACCAGUCCAAUUACGAGCCCAGUUGGCCCUUAACAGGGUUAAUGGGAUUACCUCGCAAACUAACCCUAAUUGUGUGUUAACUUUGAUUUUUAAGGCAUACACUAAAUAAAACAAGUUCGAUAAGUCUAGGUUUCUUCUAGCGAGCUUCCGACGAUCUUCCAACAGACUUUCGACGAUCUCUUGGCAAUCUCCUAGCGGACUCCCAGCAAGCUCCUAGACUUUACGACGAUCUUCUUGGUGAGUUCGGAUGAGUCUUCUUAGUUAAUUCUGACAGCAUUUCCGACGAACCUCCGGACUCCCGAUGAACUCUCGAACUCCCAACAAAAUCUCGAUCUUGACUCCGGCACUUUGUUUUGCUUUAUGCCUUAAUUGCUAUCGUAGUUAAUCCUGCAUACUUUUCUCAACAUAUAGAUUGGAUUAAAUAAUUUACCAAUUGAUUUUAUUAUCAAAAUCCGAGAUUCAACAAGCUCCCCCUUUUUUAUGAUGAUAAUCAAUUGAUGACUGAGUUAACCUUCACUCCCGCUAUCUAUAUGCCAUACUUGAGAAAAGACACUCUUGAAUUCAAGCAUCAAACCGAUAUGUUAUAUGCAUUUAAACUUAUCGACAUAUCAUGAUAUCAAUCAUGAUUUACCAUCUCAAAAUACGAUACCACAUUUAUCAUAAUACAAAUGAUGUCAAGGCAUGACAUCCAUUUUAAAGUCUAAUAUAGAAUGAUGAUAGACAAUCAUCAUUUUCAAGUAUGAUACAAAUUUCAAAUAUGAAUUUUAGUAAGAUUCAAAUUUCGAUAAAAGAUGACAAUUCAUCAAUCCGAGGCAUGAUAUCAAUUGUAAGUAAAAAAUUAAGCGUGUUAAUCACAAUGAUAGACAUUUAUCAUUUUGAUACAAAAUCAAGCAUGAUUUUAAGAAUAAAAUGUUUUCAAGUAUUAAUGCCACAUUACGAUACGUUUCAAGCAUUCAUGAUACAUUUCAAGUAUCUACGAUACAUAUGAUGCAUAUGCAAUACAUUUUGAUAUCUUUCAAGUAUUUACGAUGUAUUUGAUGAUUCCAAUCAUAUUUCAAGCAAUCGCAAAACAUUCAAGUAUUUAUGAUAAGAUAUAUUUGACAUAUUAUUUUAAGCAUUCAUAAUGCCAAUUUGUCAUCAAUUUGCUACAUUUCUCUCCCUCAUCAUCAAAAAGAAAAUGGGCAAUCAUCUCAAACAAAGAGAAGGAAAGGUUCAUGAAUAGUGCAUUUAUCAAGAAGUAUCGAAAUAUUAAAAAUUCAUGAAUAUUUUAUGAGAUAAAAUCUGCCAAUAAAAUUCAUUUCUCAAAAAAAUUCACAAGAGUAAAAUCCGUGAGAGAUGUAUUUGUCAAUGAAAUCUAUGAGUGAAGGGCCUUAAUGUAUCAAAAAUCAUUAAGUGAUAGAGCAAGGGUAUGAAGUAAAUUUUAUACGAAGUAAAUUAAAAUUUUGGAUUUCAUUAAGGCUUUAUUUAUGAAAUAAAAUAAAUUCAUGAAAGCUUUAUUUAUGAAAAAUCAAGAAAGUUCGGAAAAGAUAUACAACAAACUAAUGCAUUCGGAUAGUUUAACAUCCCUAACUCUCUUCUAAUGAAAUCAAAUUGUUCUUCAUUUAAAUGUUUUGUAAAGAAAUCGGUUAAUUGAUAUUUUGUAUCAAUAAACUCUAAAGAUAUAUCAUGGUUAUUAAUAAAAAUGAGAACUAUUCAACAAUGCAAGUGUUUUUUUAAAAAAUUAUUCAAGUAAGUUCUACACCAAUUUAUCCAAGCUAGAAAAAAAAAAAGAAAAGUUAAGAAAAAACUUUGCAUGAUAACUACUUUUGGCUUUUGAAUUAGACAAGCUAGUAUUUUUGCUUAAGAUGUGCAAAAGCCUUUUUUUUUGUUCUUCUUGAGAUGUGCAAGUUUCUUUCUUCCUUUGUUAUAAAAAUAAGAAGAAGAUGGAGAAGAGUAAGGGAGGAAUUUAUUCUCCAUCAAGAACGAAAUUCAUGAAAGUUAAGUUUCAUUAAAUCAAGCUUCUACUAUAGCAAAGAGAGAGGAUUCAUCACAAAGGAUCAAGAUAUCCAAACCAAAAAAUCAAAUCCCUAUUCUUGCAAAUGAUCAUCACAUACUAAAAGUCCAUAAAUAAAAAUUCUUCUUUCAUGACAAGAGUGAGGAAGAAUUGAUGGGAGAGGAUCAUCAAAUGAAGGAUAAAAAAUCCUUAAAUAAAUCAAAUGCUUUUUCUUGUAAAUAGAAGGAAGAAGGAUUUAUAGGAAUUGAUAAAAGAUCAAGUCAUUAAUCCAAAAAUCAAUGAAAAUAAGACAUCAAGUUGUAAAUAAAAAAAGUGAAAUCUUUUCUUUUGUAAAUAUCAUGAGAAAGAAAACUCAAGUUAUGAAAAAUCGAGAAGUUCAAAAAAUGUAUCAAGAAAUUUAUGCAUUCAAAAGAUUUAUCAUGCCUAAUUCUUAGAGUGUUGCAUGCAUUAUACCAUUAUCAAGAAGUGCAUCAUUGAAAAACACAUUACAUCAAAAGGUACAUCAUUAUCAUGAGUAUUACAUACAUAAUCAAGGUGCAUCAUAUCAUGCAUGAUUCAAAUCAUCAUCAUACCUUUCUCUCCCUUUGUCAUCAACAAAAAGGAGAAAAGUGCAACUAGUAUAUUUAUGAAACAUGCAAUUUCUACUUCACUAUAGAGCAAACUUAGCAAAUUUUAGAGAUAUAAAAAUUAGUAAAAAUAUAUAUAUAUUUUUGAGAUGUAUAAGAUAGCAUGUUUUUGCAUCUUCUUGAAAUGUGUAAGUUAGCAAACUUUGCUUCUCUUGAGAUAUGCAAGAUAGUACUUCUUGCUUAUCUUUUGAGAUGAGCAAGCUAGCAAGUUUUGCUCCCCCUUUGUCAUUGUCAAAAAGAAGGGAUGGUUACAAUAGUGCAAAACUUUUCUCAUUACAUCAUUUUUCAAAUCAUCACAUGAAAUAUAUCAAGAAAAAUUAACUAGGUGAUGAGAUAUACAAUUCAUGAAAAUAAAUUUUAAAUUAUGAAUAUCAAGAGACAAAUUAUGAUUCUUUUAAAUAGCGAAAAGAAGAAUCAUAUUAAACAAUCUUGAUUCAUAAGAAUCUCAAGUUAGUAUUAUCUAAGAAUCAAGAUCAUGAUAUAGAUAAAACUUAUUUUUUAUAAAAAACAAAAAGAAUCAUAGGAGAAACAAAUAAAAUAUCUCGAUUUAUGUAUAAAAAAUAUUGAGUCAUCAAGUGAAGGAAUCAUGAUUCAUUUGACAAAAAAUAUUAUCGAUUCAUGUAUUUGAGUAAAUGUUUUUUAAACUAUCAUUACUUCAACUCAUCAUGCAUAAUUUUAAAAUGUAAAACUAUCAAGUAUAAUACACACAUUUAUUUUCAAAACAUUUAUCAUUAUUUUCAACUCAUUCAAUUUAUCAAAUCAUCAAAAUCACUUUUAAGCGAUUCUAAAUGACAUAAAUAGAUUUAUCAAUUUCUUAUUGAAAAUUUGAUAAGAUUCUAGGAAUAGAGACAUUUUCAAGAAUAAUGCAUUCUCCCUUAUUUAUGAGUUUUGAUUUAUGUGAUAUAUUUUAUACAAACAUACCUUUUUCUUUUAUGCCAAAUAAAAAUAUGCAUCAUCGUUUAAAACCAAAACCAAGAUUUUACAACCAUCAUCAAGNNNNNNNNNNNNNNNNNNNNNNNNNNNNNNNNNNNNNNNNNNNNNNNNNNNNNNNNNNNNNNNNNNNNNNNNNNNNNNNNNNNNNNNNNNNNNNNNNNNNNNNNNNNNNNNNNNNNNNNNNNNNNNNNNNNNNNNNNNNNNNNNNNNNNNNNNNNNNNNNNNNNNNNNNNNNNNNNNNNNNNNNNNNNNNNNNNNNNNNNNNNNNAUCAAUUGUGUAAUAUAUAAUUCCAAAACAUAAGAUUUCAAAUAAUUAUUACAUCAUCAUUAAUCAUGACUUCAUUGAAUAUAAAACAUCUUCAAUUAAAAUCAUUUGGUAACCGAUAGUUUUAAUUAUAAUGAUCUUUCUUUUAUUAUUUUGGUUAGAGAGCUUUAUGAGGUAUUUUGGAUCUCCGGUCAUAAGCCUUGAGCGUCUAUUAUCAAACUAUCAUUCUUGCUCCGAGCUUGUGAUUAUAGACACAUCUACAAGAAAGGGGGUUUUCUUUUAGGUACUUAGUUUACCUUGGGUUUCUCAUAAAUAGAUCUACCUAACUUAUUAUUUUGUAUUGAGUCAUUUAAGGUUUCUUUAGGGACCUAAAUUAACUUAUGUGGACUAUACCUCUUAAAUGGAUAUUUAUGAGUAACAUGUCGGAGUUUACAAUAAAAGUUGUAUUUAGUGCAGGGUGAUACAUGCAAGGUAGGGUCUUUAACAAAGGUGAUAGGAUUUUGGUGAGAGCUACUCACAAAUCCGAUUCCACCUCUUUUAUGAACGUGACCCUUAUUGGCAAGGAUCAUGUUCAAGGACUUGCUACUAACCUUAAACUUUUCUAGAGUUUCUUUGAGUAGCAAGUUUUCCUUCUCAAGUGCCUCUAAGUGUUCACACUUAGUGCAUAGAGGCAAAGAAUGACUAUCAUGCUUAAGUUUUUCAAAUUCAGUAUUUAAAAGGGCAUGCUCCUUUUUCAAAGAAUUAUACUUUUUGCUCAUUAUUAUACAUUCAUCAAACAAAUCAUGAAAAACACUUAAAAAUUCAUUGAAAGAUAAAUUUACAUCUAAUGAACUACUUACCUUAUCUUUGAUAGCCAUUAGUGCGUAGUUGGUGAUUUCCUUGUUGCUUUGUUCUUUGUCUUCAGAAUCGCUCGAAUCAUCCCACGUUGCUUUGAGCACAUUUUUCUUCUUUGGUUGUUUCUUCUUCACUUGGGGACAUUCGCUUUUGAAAUGUCUCGACUUCUUGCAUUCAUAGCAUAUAACUUGUUCUUUCUUGGGUUCAAUUUUAUUUUAUGUUAUUUUUAGAUUUAUUUUUUUUAUAAUUUUUUUGAAUUUUAUUAUCAAGAGUUCCAAGUCAUCAUCAUAGUCCUCAUCACUUGAACUUCCUUUCAAGUGGUCUUUAUGAGUUUUUAGUGCCAUAUCCUCCUUGUUCUUUAGAAGGUUGCUCUCAAGCUCUUCAUGAGCGUUGCAAGCAUCUCAUAGGUCAUUAAUGACCCAAUAAGUUCUUUAAGAGGAAAAUUAUUCAAAUCCUUUGCCUCUUGAAUGACCAUUACUUUAGGGUCUCAACUCUUUGGAAAGGAUCUCAAUAUUUUAUUAACAAGUUCAAAGUUAGAAAAACUUUUACCAAGCGCUUUUAGACUGUUGACGAGAUCCGUAAACCGAGUGUACAUGUCUUCAAUGGUCUUACUUUGUUUCAUCUGAAACAAUUCAAAAGUAUGGACUAAAAGAUUUAUUUUAGACUCCUUUACUUUACUAGUGCCUUCUUGAGUGAUUUCGAGUAUGUGCUAAAUUUCGAAAGUCGUUUCACAAAUAGAUACUCGAUUGAACUUAUUUUUAUCUAAAGCGUAAAAUAAGACAUUCAUAGCCUUGGUAUUUAAAAAGAAAGUCUUCUUCUCCAACUCAUUCCAAUCGUUCAUUGGAAGAGAAGACUUUUGAAAGUCAUUUUCCAUAAUAUUCAAUAACUCAAAAUCCAUAGAAAUUAGAAAAAGCCUCAUUCUAGUUUUCCAAUAGGUAUAAUCCGUCCCAUUGAACAUGGGUGGACGUGUGAUUGAGUAACCCUCUUGGUUGUCGGCAAAUGCCAUCUCUCAUGGGUUUCAAACCAAAAUGAGAGUGAUCUCGCUCUAAUACCAAUUGUUAAGAUUAAGUCAGCACUAAGAGAGAGGGGGGUGAAUUAGUGCAGCGGAUAAAAAUGAUCAAUUUAAGUGAUUUUGAAAACUUCGUACGAUAAAAAAAUUUUAGUUCGACAAGAACCAUUUUGAAAAGACGUUUGGCUCUAGUGAGUUUAUAAGUGAGUAGAGAAGAGGGAGGGGAUUAGACAAUUUAUAAUGAAGUAAAAUAGAAUGUAGCACAAGUAAAGAAAAUAAGCAGUAAGAAAAGAACACACUAGAAUUAGUGCAGUGAUAAAAACCACGUUAUUUUUGUGUCGUUCGAAACGAUUUUAUCCUGUGUAGCGAUAAAAAUCAGCACAACUAUCUAGAGCGACACUAAGAGGAAUGAACACACCAGAUUUAAAUAUGCAGUUCGAAAUGAUUUCAUCGAAUGAGAUUUUUGACUCGACGUGGUUUCCUAUACAUGGUUUUUAUCGCUACACUUAUUGAAUGAGAUUUUGACAUGUUAAUGAAAGAACCUUUACACCCCCACUACCUUCUCUCUUAAACUUCACCAACACUUAAGAACUUGAGAGGAGUUCUCACAAGAUUACAACAACAUUUUUCUUCCUUUUUUGCUCUCAAUUCUUGUGUUAUCUGAGCAGGGAUGAGAGGGGUAUUUAUAUCCCCCAAGUGGAUUCAAACUUGGAGCCAAAAAGUGUCUCAUCCUCGAUUUUUUUGGUAUUGGCAGUACCACCGCCUGUGCUGGGUGGUACCAUCGCCUACAACACUGACACUAGGUGGUACCAUCGCCUAGUCUGAUGGUACCACAAACCAGUAUGGUGGUACCACUGCCUGACACAGUUUCGAAGACUAUGUCUGAGUGGUACCACCGCGUGACACAAUCUCGGAGACUGUGCCACCAAUGGUUCCACUUGUUGGGUCACUGUUUGGGCCUUUCACUUAGUCCAACAUAGCCCAAACUUAGGUCCAAUUGACACAUAAUUGAGUUGGCCUAAUUCCAAUCCAAUUACACAUAAAACCUACUUUGAUCUAGACAAUUAUUACAAAGAUAAAUCAAAUACUGUCCGGCAUAUCAUUGGUUCAUCGACGCCUCGUCCGAUUCUUCGAUACAUCAUCCUCUCUUGCGGCCUAUUACCCAAUUGACUAGUUGACCUCCGUAACUCCAAUUUUCUUAACGUAAUUUUUGGUCUUCUUGGCCCGAUGCCCGAACCCAAGACCCGAAGCCUUCUACCGAUACGUCGACCAAUCCUCCAGCUUGACAUCCAAUCUUCUAACAUGUUCCACUCCAGCCCAACAUGAUUUUUCCUGCUUUAAUUGUCUCUCCCUGAUCGAAGCUUUAUAUGUCACUCAAAACGCAGAUCAGAUCACAAAUACAUCAAUUGAUUUCAUCAUCAAAAUAUGAGAUUUAAUAAUCUCCUCUUUUUUGAUGAUGACAACUAAUUGAUGACGGAGUUUAAACUGAACUCCCCUUAUCAAUAUGCCAUAUUGAUAGAACUCUUGAAUUCGAAAAUUCAAGCAACAUAUCAUCAUAAAAUCAUGCAUAAGAUUUUAAUAUCGUCAUCAUACUUCUCUCCCUUUGUCAUCAACAAAAAGGAGAAGAGCAUCUAGCCAGUUUUUAAGAUAUGCAAGUUUUACAACAUGCAAGAUAGUAAAAAUUUUAAGUUUUGUAAGUUUGUAAAUAUUACUAGAUGUGUAAGUUAGCAUAUUUGUUUUUCUUUAAGAUAUUCAAACUAGCAAAUUUUUGAAAAAGAAUAAAGAUAGUAAAUAGCUAGUUUAGAACAUGCAAGCUAGCAAGUUUUUCAUAUAUAUGAAGGUUGGCAAAAUUUUUGCAUCUUUUGAGAUGAGCAAGAUAACCUAUUUUUACAUCUUCUUGAAAUGUGUAAGUUAACAAACAUUGCUUCUCUUGAGAUUUGUAAGAUAGCACUUCUUGCUUUUCUUUUGAGAUGAUUACCUAGGAAGAUUUGCCUCUCUUUGCGAUAUGCAAAUUAGUAAUUUUUGCUUCCUUUUGAAAUGUGCAAGCUAGCAAUUUUUCUCCCCCUUUGUCGUUAUAAAAAAAAGGGAAAGAAUACAAUGUUGUAAUUCUUUUUCCUUUACAUCAAUUUUCAAAGCAUGACAAAGAUAAAGUAUCAUUCUUAUUUCAAUAUGUUUAUGCAUACACAAUUUCUAAACCUAAAAUUUCAUUCUUAUUUCAUGCAUGAUACCAAAAAUAAAUCAAUCAUCACUAUGGGCAUAUUAUACAUGAUAUUCAAGCAUUCAUGAUACAUUAUUUUGGGCAUAACAUUCAUGAUGCUUAAAUUUUUAAGCAUUUAUCUCUUCAUACAUUAACUCAAUAUUUUGACAUUAAAAUUUUUAAGUAUUUAUCACUUCAUGCAUUAAAUCAACAUUUUGAUCAUAAUACCAAACAUUUAUCAUUUAUUUCUCCCCCUUUAUCAUCAACAAAAAGGAGAAUCAUUCAACCAUACAAGUGUUUGAAAGUAUGUCAAGUAAGUUUUAUAUUAAUUUAUCCAAGCUAGCAAAACUAUCUCCCUUGAGAUAUGCAAGCUUACAAGUUUUUCCUUUCUCAGCAAUAUGUUUUUCUUAAGAUGUACAUACUAGUAAUUCUUUCUCCCCCUUUGUCACAGACAAAAAGAGGAAAAAAACACAAAGAUGUAAAUAUUCAAGUCAUCAUAUGGAAUAUAUUAAGAAAAAUUUGGUGAUGAGAUAUACUUCACGAAUACAAGAAAUUAUAUAAAAAAAAUCAUAUCAUGAAGGAUAAAAUCAUGUGAACUAAUUCUUCUUGGAGGAUAUCAUGAAGGAUGCCGGUGGUUUUUAUCUCUGCACUAAUUCUUCUUGUGAAUACUAUUCGAAAAUAAGCAAUAAAAACCCUCUUAGUGUCGUUCUUGAUCUUAACAUAAAUAUCGAAUACAAAUAAAAGGAAUAAGCUCAAAUCAAUUUUAGAACAUUCGAUUAAUUUGAUACUAGCAAUUUUCAUUUGUUUAGACACAAAAUUAGCUAUGCCUCUCCUAAACAAGAAUAAAUAAAUAAAUUAUAAUCAGCUUGAUAAUAAAAAUAUAAAUAAUAUGUAUAUAUUAUUUUCACUUAGUGAUAUGAUUUGUAAUGAUUAUGUUUCAUAAAUAUGAUAAAUAAUGUACUCAUGUUCUAGCUUUUAAAGUUGAAGUACAUAUUUUUUUUUAAAUAUUAUUCGCAGUAUUCUACUAAAUGUUAGUUGAGCAUGCAUAAGAAUCAAUAUUUACUUUAAUCAUAUUUGAUAGUGAAAAAGCAUGCAACAAGCUUAAGUGUGUUAGUGAAUUCGAGUAUGAGGCUAAGUUAUGAUAAUAAGCAUGCAUAUAAUAACUAGAAGUGACGAUUGAGUUAUAAUUGACUUUAAGUGAAUCUCUUGAAUAAGUUUGUACUAGUUACAGGUGCCCUACAAGCCAAUCAUGUGAGUGAUUGCAUAUGUGAUACGUUGCAUAAUCUUUUUCUAUUAAUAUUAAUAAUGAUAUUUUCUCACUUUAUGUUAUGUAAUAUAUUGUGAUAUCCUUGGAUUUGUAUAAUGAGAAUUGGAUUAUGAUAAGAUCAUGAUAAUGAAACUAAUUUAUCUUUGAAUAUAAAUCCUAAAUAUUCUCGAUUAUAGGUUACUCGGGAGGGACAUCGAGAUAAUUAUAUAGACCGGUGUGCUAUAUACCCAUCCAUAUGAUGGAGGUAGUUGGUCUUAUAGUUGCUUGUGUGGAGAGACUAGGGAUAUAGUACAGGUACUCAUUAGAGAAUAAGUUUACUAAAUGAUCUAUUUAUGGAAUGUUGGAUAGUUAAUAAUACCUCAUCGUUAAACAAUGAUUUUGUAGUCCUAAUUGUGUAUUUGAUCAUUAGAAUUGAGAUACCAAGGAUGCCUUGUUUGAGUACUCCAUUUUUUGAUACUAGACUUAUAGGUCUAGAAGUUCCGAUCUAGUACAAACGAUCAUUGAGAAUCACAGCCAACCUUACAAAGACAAUUGAGUGUCAAUAGAGGAUUAUCCACUCUCGGUAUCAUGAGAGGAAUAUCUCAUAUAUUCUCACUUAGGCAAAUCUCUGGCCAAGGUCAAUCGAAUCAUGACAAAUUCGAUAAGCAUGAAAUUCGAAUUGAGAGAGGAGUUCUUUGGGAGAACUCGAUUAGAGUGAGACUUAGAUAGAUUCUGUAUGGGCUUGACAGUACUAUGCCCAGUAUAUAGUCCAUAAGAUAUUAGAUAGAUAAGGGACUAUAGAUACAUAGUAACUAAGGGCAAACAUGCCUAAUGAAUUAGAUUCCCCUAUACCAUUUGGGGACUAUAGCAUAGUAGCAUAGUACAUCCAUAGUCAAUGAGUUGAGUGAAUUAUUAUGAGGAUAAUAAUUCGCUGAGUCAGAAGGAGUUUUGAGUUAGAAGGAGGUCUAACAAGUAUAACUCACGGUCAGCUUAGUAUUAGACUUGAAAGGUCAUAUACAUAUGGUGAAAAACAUAAUGAAUAGAGGAUUGGAUAUAAGAUAUUCAAUAAACUCUUAUUAUAAUGGAUCCAUUGGGUGAGAUCUAAUAAAGCUUAGAGUGGUUAUUGAAUGAGGAUCCAAUAUCCAUUAAGUUAGGAGUAAUUAAAUGAAGAACCAAUACCCAUUAAGGUAGGAUCCAUUAUGGUUAGUUAAAGGAGGCUCUCUAUAAAUAGGAGUUGGACUCAAAGGGUCAUAGGCUGGACCCCUAUAGCUACCACCCUCCUUUAUCUCCUCCCCCCCUUUUUCCUCCAACCGUCAGCCCCCCUCUCUAGUGCGAGAGGAUAGUACGAGGGAUCGAUCCCUCCUUGCUUGCUAUUGCAUGGUGGUGCACGAUUACAAGGAAAGAACACGUUACACGAGGAGAUGCGUCAUUACUAUAUCCAUCAUGUGGAUCACCGCUAGAGAGGAGUUCACGAGAGCUCUUUCAUCCAUGGACUAGUACCUGCGAUCUUAGGAGAUAUACGAGUUUCCUUAUGUGAGAAUGUCUCACACCCCUUAUGCAGUUUUUGGUUUCUUGAGUUUUACACUAUCGAUCAUCACACGGCGAUCCGAUAAAUUUAUUUUAGAAAAUCAAUUUUUGUUUUUAUUUUUCGUUACACAUGUAAUGCUCUCUAAGGUUUCCCAACAGUUUGAACAUAAUUAAAAUAAAAAAAUAAAUUUUAAACAUUAUGUAUUGGUGGAUAAUAAGCUAUUUAGGCAUAGAUAAAGUAAUAAAAAAUAAAUAAAAAUAUAAAUCAAAGAGGAGUUUAUAGUAAAAAUAUUAAGAUACAAAAGUGAGAUUGAGGGAUGAGUUAGAUAAAAAAAAAUUAUUUUUGUUAAAUCAAAUUAGACUGUGUUAUAACCUUAUAAUUAUAUUAAUAAAAGAAAAAAAGAAACAAACUUGAAAUAAGGUCCAAUGGGAUUGAAUCCUAGACCUUAAGAUAACCUCUUAAACACCUUUACCUUAUUUUGUUCUCAUCCUUUUUACCAACCUAAUAACAUAUGACAUAUUUUCUCUUUUUGUAGUCAUUCUCUCAAUUUUUCUUAUGGAGGUUGGGAAACCCCAACUCUAAGGAAGGUUGAGGUAAGAAAAAUUCAAUUCUUUCUCUUGUUAUAUUUAGGAUUUUAGUUUUACAAAUUAUAGACUGACAUUUUUAAUUACUUUUAAGUAAUCUAAACUUUGAAUUAAUAUUUGAUUUUUAAAUAUAUUUUGUUUCAUAUAGUUUUAAAGUCUUUAGUAUGACCUUAAUAUGAGAUCGGUACAUAUAAUUAUGAGUGUCCCAAUCUGAGAUACUUUAAAUCCCUUAUUUUUUAAGAAAGGAUUCUAUUCAAUUGAACUUGUUAAAGAUAUGACUAGGCUAUAUACUUUUGAUAUGUUUUAAAAGGUCUUCUUAGGGUUCUAUAGGAUUUGGAAUUGAGUGAAUACCACCUAUGUGUACUAGGAUAUGAUGUUUAUAAAUUCAGUUAGUUCUAACCCAAUUUUAUUAGAAUGUAAUAGAUGUUUAUAGUAAAUUAGGAGGGCAAUUUAGCAUCCAAAUAAUCCUAUUUUAAGAUAAAAAUUAGUAUGUAUUUAGUUUUAUACGUUUCCUAGUUUUUUACAAAAUUUUAUGAUAAUUCAAGAUCGUUUGGUCAGCUAAAAUAGUAAAGUAAAAUUUCUUUAUAAAAUUAUGUGAUGGUUUGGGUGGUACUAACUAGUUCAUUUGAUUAUAUAGUGAAUUAUUAAAAAAUAAUGAUGAAAUUUAGAUAAAUUUUUAGAUUGAAUAUACUAUAUUUUAUUAAUUUUUAAUAAAUUAUUAUAAAUCAAUAAUUUAAAAGGUAGGAUUCUUAAUUAAGGCAUCUUAUGACCCUAUGCUCCUAAUUUGAUAGGUGAACAACUCUAGCAUACUCGAUCAUUAAGAUGUUAGGACCCGAGGGGGGGGGGAUGAAUUAGUGCUUACGAAAAAUUACAUCAAUUCAAAAAUAUCAUUCGAUAAAGCUUGUAUCAGAAAGAUGAGUUUAAUUUGAAAGUGUGUUCAUAAGCGUAGUGAAAGUAGUAAGCAAGUAAAUUAGUUUGCAAUAUGAGAAUAAAAAGCAGAACAAAAAUGCAAACUAUGUACAUUAGAUUUAUAGUGAUUCAAUCAUCGUGACCUACAUCCACUCCCAAGAAGCUUCAAUCAGGGAGAGAUAAUUAAAGCAGGAAGAAUCAUGUUGGGCCAGAGUGGAACAUGUCAGAAGAUUGAACGUCGAGCAGGAGGAUCGAUCGACGUAUCGGCAGAAGGCUUCGGGCCAUAUGUUCGGGCAUCAGGCUAAGAAGAACAGAAAUUACACUAAGAAAAUUAUAGUUGCAGAGAUCAACUAGCUGAUUGGGCAAUAGGUCGCAAGAGAGGAUGAUGCGUCGAAGAAUCAAACAAAGCGUCGAUGAACCAAUGACAGGCUGGAUAACAUUUGAUUCAAGUUUUAUAAUAAUUGUCUAGAUCAAAGUAGGUUUUAGGUGCAAUUGGGUUAGAAUUGGGCCAACUUAAUUAGAGGCCAAUUGGGCCUAAGUUUGGGCUAUGUUGGGCUAAGCGAAAGGCCCAAACAAUGACCCAAACAAUGACCGAACAAAUGGAACCAUCGGUGGCACAGUCUUUGAGACUGUGUCAGGUUGUGGUAUUGCCCAUACUUAAUCUCUGAGACUGUUAGGCGGUGGUACCGCCAGUAUGGGCAAUGGUACUGCCCAAACAUAGUCUCCCAUGCGGUGGUACCGUUAGACUGGACAGUGGUACCACCCAGUGUCAAUGCUGCAGGCGGUGGAACCACCAGUACCUGGAAGACUUGGGAUGAGACUAGUUUUGGCUCCAAGUUUAAAUCCAUUUAGAGCCUAUAAAUACCUCUCUUAUCUCUGGUUAACACACACAAGCAUAGAGAACUUAAAAGUGAGAAAACGUUGAGCAAUCACUUAGAGAUCCCCUCCUUUAGAUUUAAAGUUUAGAAUUCUAUUUAGGGAGGAGUGAGUACUUAUAAAAUAUUAUCUCCUAAACCUAUGAAAUGGAGAAGAGGGGUGUAAAAGGGUAGUUGAUCUUCACCCAUUGAAAGAAUAUCGUUAAUGGAUGCCGGUGGCCUCGAUGGAAGAGGAAUCAGCGGAGUGGAUAUAGGUCACGACGACCGAACCACUAUAAAAAUCUGGUUUGCAUUUACUUCUUACUAGUUAUCUUUAUUACAAACUGAAUUCUUACUUUCACUAUGCUUCCGUAUGCUUUCAAGUUAAGCAUUUCUGAUAUCGAUUUUCAUCGAACAAAAAGAUUUUUUAAAACUGAUGUUUUUAUCCGCUACACUAAUUCACCCUCCUCUCUUAAUGCCGACUUAAUCCUAAUGGUUGGUAUUAGAGCCACAUUUUUCUCAUUUGGCCCAAGAGAAAUGGCUUUUUUCGGUUUUUAAGAGGUUCACUCUAUUAUUCGUCCUCCUAUGUUCAAUGAGAUAUACUACAUAUAUUAGAAAACUCGAAUUAGAGUUUUCUUACUUUCUUUAGAUUUAAAUUUAUGAAAUAUCAUUGAAAAUAGAUUUCAAAAGUCUUCUCUUCCAAUAAACGAUUGGAAUGAUUUGGAGAAGAAGACUUUCUCUUUGAAUGCCAAAGCUAUGAAUGAUUUAUUUUAUGCAUUGGACACAAAUAAAUUUAAUCAUAUUUCUAUUUGUGAAACUACGUAUUAUAUUUGGCACACUCUUGAAAUCACACACAAAGACACUAGUAGAGUUAAAGAUUUUAAAAUAAAUAUUUUGAUGCAUAGUUUUGAAUUAUUUCGAAUGGAACCAAGAGAGACUAUUGGAGAUAUGUACACCCGUUUUACGGAUGCCAUCAAUAGUUUAAAAGCACUUGGUAAAAGUUUUUCUAAUUUCGAACUUGUUAACAA